UUUUUUUUUUUAUCUAAGUCCCAAAAAAAUUUAAAAAAAUGUUUUCAAAAAAUACACGUCAGCAGUGACUCCAUCGUGGCACGACCGACCAAUCACUCUCCUCAAAAUCGCACUAAAUUCGAAAUUUCCAGAGUGAACUCGCAUCAAACAAUACCCCCGAUUGCGAUAAAUCCACGUCUCUCUACACUCUUCCUCACCACUCUCGAGUCUCGAACCUUCUCUCUCUCCCUCUCUCUCUCUGUGUCUCUCUCUCUCUCCACCUUCGCCCAUGGCCGCUACAGCCGCAGCUCCGGCGUCGCCCAUCGAGGUCUGCGUCAAAGCCGCCACGGGCGACCCCGAAACCCUAGGCGAUUGUACCCUCUCGAUCACCCCAUCUCCAUUUCGAUCUCUCUAGAUGUCGAUCUUUUGUUCCUGAUUUGGUUCCUUUGAACGGUGAAUCUCUAGGUCCUUUUAGCCAGAGGGUUCUUCUCACGCUCGAGGAGAAGAAGAUCCCCUACGAGUUGAAGCUUAUCGACCUCGAUAACAAGCCCGAGUGGUUAGAUCUAGUGUCUUCGUAUUUCUCUUCUUCGUUGUAGGAAUCGAGUAUUAUAUGAUGUGAUGCUUUGUAGGUUUCUGAAGAUAAGCCCCGAGGGGAAGGUUCCUGUGUUCAAUGGCGGUCAUGGGAAGUGGAUUUUCGAUUCCGAUGUGGUCACGCGGACCAUCGAGGAGAAGUACCCCGAGCCUUCGCUUGUCACGCCUCCGGAGUACUCGUCAGUGUAAGUUUUUCUCGGAUUUGUGUUUUCGCUUUACAUAUAUGAUGAGAUUUGUGGUUUAGCAAGUAUGAUAAUUUACUGCCAUAAUUUGCUUAACUUUUCAGAAGUUUAGAGAUUUGUGGUUUAGCAAGUAUGAGAUUUGUUGAAGUUUUAGGUCGUGAAUAUUUGAUGCUUUAAUUUGUUGAGGGAACUGGAUUUUACACAUAAUGUAAGCACAGCGGUUUGUAAUGUUUGGUAAUUGUGGGAAGUGAAAUUUGAUUAGGAUUUAAACCCUACUUAGUAGUCGAAGCGGCAAAUAACAUGUUCUGAUUUGAGUAGGAUAAAUGCUCUGUUACUUUGUGCCCCUUUUUUUUUUUUGUUUUUUUACUGUGUUGUAGGUUCCUGCAACCACAUUUUAUUUUCAUGCCUGAGUGUUUAAUAAUCGAGCUGUGCCUUUUUUUUUUAAAUUUGCUUAAUUAUUGUAACUUAAGCACUAGCAGAUAUAUCCAGGAACCAGGAUGAUUUAAAGGUUGUGGUGUGAGAAGGGGGAAAAAAAUAAAAGCAUCUCAUCUAACAUAAAAUUUUUAAAUAACAAAUGAUCAAUUUUAUAUAGCUGGUUUUUGUCUGAAUCAAUGAUUUGCUAGGACGAGAAUAUUAUUCACUUACCAUGGCAGAUACAUCCGAAGAGCACUGUACUGUGUAUGUCAUUGUUCUUUUCAUUUUACAAUAUUGUGGAACUUCAUUAAUUUUGUUUGUGUUAUAUGUUUUGCUUUGUCUCCUUCUUGUUGUUCACUCAAUCAAUCUUAAGUUCUCAUGCUCUCUCUUUCCAAUACUCCAUUUCCAUGGGUAAUAGAACUUCCUAAAUGGUUCUUGUGUGUGAGGCAUAACUAUAUUGAAGAACUUCAGUUUGCCAGGCAAUUUUCUUGGCUAAUUACAAAUUUUCCAUUUCGUGUCUCUUCCUGCUGGAGUAGUUUGAUAUAAGGUCACUAGUAUUAAAUCCAGUUAUUCUAGUCUCUGGAAGUUGAAUCCAGUUAGAAACACAUUUCAUCUAACUAAAUUACCUUAUACCAGGGGAUCAAAAUUAUUUCCUUCCUUUGUGAAGUUCUUGACAAGCAAGGAUCCUAAUGAUGGGUCAGAGCAGGCACUACUCGAUGAGCUGCGUUCAUUGGAUGAGCAUCUGAAGGAACAUGUAUGUCUCCCCCCCCCCCCUCUGACGUGCGUACACGCAUGUGUGUUGUGUGCGUGUGCGUGCCUGGUAGUCGGUGUAGGCAUCAGUCAUGUAGUGACCACACAUUGAUAUUUGCAGGGUCCAUUUGUUAACGGUGAGAAGAUAUCUGCUGUUGAUCUUAGCCUGGCACCUAAGCUAUUCCAUCUUCAGGUUGCUCUUGAUCAUUUUAAAGGCUGGAAGAUCCCUGAGAAUCUGACCUAUGUUCACUCUUAUAUGAAGGUAUGGGCAAAGAUUCCUGACUCAUUCUGUUUUAUUACCUGGUUGUAUGUUGAAAGCUCUGCUUGAGUUCUCUUUUCGUUCAGUUCCUGAAUUUCUUUCUGAAUGACGGCAAUGCAACUUUGCUGUGAGGCAAUACUAUGCCAUUUUUCUUUUUGGUGUUAUUUAAGCAUAUUUGGCGAGCGAAGCUAUGACUCCUAUAUUUGUUUGGUGUGUCAUGAAUCACAGCAGCUGUUUUACUGCUCGCAAGAAUGUUAGCAGUUGGAUAUUAAACGUCUUUUCUGUUUAAAUUCAUUAAGGAUAGAGUGACCACUCAGGCGCUUCUCUUUGAGGUCAAAUAGCAAAUAUCAUUAGUUACAGGGACUGUUAUUUGUCUCGUAAGGUAUUAGCGACUUGUGUGAACGUAAUUGCCCAGUAAUCAUCUUUUAUGGCAAGCAAUUGUAGUCUGCUGAAUCAUUCAUUAGCUCAUUUCUUUUUUGAAGCCUCUGAUAUAUGGUUGUGCGUACUGUGCAGCUGCUUUUCAAUCGCGAGUCUUUCAUCAAGACGAAACCCUCCAAGGAGCAUGUCAUCGCUGGGUGGGCGCCGAAGGUGAAUGCAUGAAGCGCUUCCUAUCCUUAGUCAGUGAUCGUUCUGCAAUAGUAAAACAUCUGCUGGUUUGAAAUCACGUGUUCGAACUGCAAACUUGUUCAGCUAUCGCUGCAAACCUUGUUAUCACUGACUAUUUGCACUUGGGUUUUCUGUAACUACUUGUAUCAGUAAAAUUAGGGGUUUCUCAGUGUGUGUGUGUGUGUGUGUAUAUAUAUAUAUAUAUAUAUGCUGUGACUGUUGUGAGUGUUGUGCCUUUCUUUUUACAGUAAAUAAUGCAUGUGCUCAAAAUUUAGGCUUAAUUGUAACUCUUUUAGUGAAAAUAAUUAAGUUGACUCGUUGAGGGGUGCAAAUGAAAAACUAAAGGUAAAAUCGAAGGGCCUAAUCCUGAACAAGGAACUUACAUAUUCGCUGAAAAAAAAAAGAAGUGGAAAUCUUAUUACAUUUGUAUUAAGCUAUCAUUUAGUGAAUUACUUCUUUUUACAUCAUUGUUUGGUGGCAAUCUUUUACACUUCUUGUGGGUACACCCCUAUUUCAUUUAAAAGAAAAAUAUAUGAUAGAAAGCACCUCCUUUUCCUAAUACGUGUGAUUCAGUAUCAAUUAACUAUCUCAAAUCCUUAUUCAAAGAAGAUCAGAUCACUGUUAUUGUGCUUGAUCAACAUACACAGAUGAUUGAGGCCUGAGGGCAACAAACAGCAAAUUAGACCUCCCUUGGGGAGAGGAGCGGCUCCUGGUCCGAAUUCGACUCAUCUCCACCAUCAGAUUGUCUCCACCGGCACUGCACGAGACCCGACGGGGCACCCGGCAUGCUCCUGUGGAAGUUCUCCAUGUACUGAAGGCACGCUUUGACGGCGUCGUGCGCGCUCACGAAGUACCAUCUCUUCCCGAUCAACUCGAUGAGUCCAGCACGGGAAAGCGUUAUCAGAACCUUCCGGUUUGGAUUCGAAAAGGCCAUCUGCGUGAGAAAUUCGAAGCUAAGAUUGUAAUAUCAUUAAAAUCUAUCAUAAAUCGAAUCUGAAAACAAAAUAGAUACAACUCUACCUGGAUUUCGCGAGAUUUAUAUUCUUGAUGCAGAUCCUUGAGAGCUUGAACUGCGCUCGAGUCGAUGUAUGGAACAGCUGCAGCAUUUAAACUGAUCAAUUGACUCGAACAAACUUAAGAAGAUACAGUUUAUGGAAACCAAAACAAAAUUAUGCUGAUAACAUACCUGCCAUCUCAAUAAUCACGAAAUAAAUUCUUUCUUUUUCUUGUGUAUCUUUUGUUGCUCCUGUGCUGUCGAGUUCGUACUCACGCAACCUGCGAAUUGUAGAAGAACAAAAUGCGACAAAUUGUUAAAUAAUUUCAGUAAUACGGUGCGUAACUAUGUUCUUCUUUUCGGUUCUUGCUACUUCCGGUAGAUUAUAUAAAAGGCGCAGGGCUUCACCUGUCCUUGAUGUAACUUAUGUUUGCGAAAUAAAUCGGAGCAUCAAUUCGAACAACAACAAUUCCGUAGUAUAUGUAUGCUUCGGGAUACUGUUCGAUGUUUCUGUAAACCGUAGUUCCGGGGAGACGUCCCAGUACAGCUGCAAAUUAUAACACUCAAACAGGAGAUGCGCGUGAUAAAGAGAAACUAAAAUUACAAAAAUUAUACAAGCAGUAUAAAUAAUACUCAGAUUUACAGUGGUUCGGAGGAUCGAAAAGCACUUACCUAUGUGGGGAUUUGCUGAUUCAUGGAUGACGAAUGCGAGAGAAGCGCUAACCUAUAAUUCGAACUCCAUUACUCAGAAUAUAAUUGCAAACUAUACAGAAGUGCUACUCGAAUUAAAGUUAAGUAGAUCAUGUUUACAAUCUCUGUACUUUGCAUUAAGUCGCAUAACCUAAUUUUUCUCUUAAUUAUUAAAUGGUAAGCACAUAUUAGCUUAGAGACAAGGAGAAACAUUCUGAAGAGGUGGUGAAGGGGGAAAAGGAAUGCUUUUAAAGAGCAGCAAUUACUACCGAUGAGUGAGUGAUCAAACUUUUGAUUACGCGGGAAAAGAAUUUUGUACAUGAGAUAGACAUGGGUGUAAAACCUGACCCCAACAAGCACACCAAUCUCGAUGCCGAGAAAUAAUGUUAUAAUGCAAGUGAUAGUCCAGAGAAGGAAAUCUUUCUUAUCUACGCGCCACAAGAAUGCGGCCUCCUCAUAGUCCACCUGAAGCAAAAAAGAACAAGGAUAUGGGAUUAGUUCAAUAAAAGAGAGGUUACAAAUAAAAUUGCAAAUUUAUCCCUGUCGAGAAGUCGCAAAUUGCUGAGUCUCCUUCACAACACUAUCAGGGCUUAUCAUUCUCGAGUUUACAACUAUUUAUGAGUGAGGAUUUAUCAACCAAUAAGAAGAUCUUGGACUAUGCAAGGUAAGAGAAAGUUUUACUAAUACAAACUCCGUAAUCGCGAUAAUUAAGAGAUUAAGAUAUUAAUUCUUACCAAACUUAUUCCAACAGAGAUAACAAUGGCAGCUAGUGCACACUGGAUCAUACAAAAACAAGAAGCGGUAUAAGGAGAAUUACUCUAAGAACAUGAAAGAUGCUAAGUGAAUAGCAAUAAAACUAACUCUUGUUUCGCAGAAGAUGCAAUUACAAGAAAAUUUUGUUUCAGAGAACUACACCUGAGGUAUAUCUCUAAACAAUGGAGUCAAAAAGUAUAAAGCACAACCCAUUGUGCACCCCAUUAUAACUCCUGAUAAUCCUGUUUUUGCCCCAGUUUCAUGAUUUACAGCUGACCUAGAAAAGGAACCUGCAAUUUUGCAAAACGGAAUACUACGGUAAACAUGUUAGUCGAAGGGUAAACAUGAAAUUAGCAGAUGAUGAGAAACAAUAACUUCACAUUCUUGAUACUGAUGUGGCUCAUCAGAAAAGUAUCAACAUAUUUUACCUGUCGCUGGGUACGAAGAGAAAAAAGAACCACAUAUAUUUGCCAUUCCAAGGCCAAAUAACUGCAAAGAAGAUACUAUGAGACACAAAUUAAUCUAUUAUUAUUGCAUGGAACAUUCCAAAUAUCUGCAUCUGAUCAAGAAGACAUUAGAUUCUAAUGGUUUUUACUGGUACCUCUUGAUUCGAGUCUAAGUCGUACCCAUUUUUCGCGGCCAAUGCUUUGGCAAUCCCUACUGAUUCCUGAAGUUCAAAAUGGUAUUGGUGGGUUUUCGACGAAGCAAUUAGUAGAUAACUUAUAAUAACUAGCAAAUUAUUCUUACUAGAAUGGCCACUCCAGUAAUGAGAACGGCGGUCGAAAGCAGAGAUUGCGCAUACUCGAACCCUCGAGGAAUGUGAAACUGUGGAAGGCCUUGUGGUAUUUCGCCAACCUAUAGUCGGAAAAACAGCAUAAAAUCGACACAGUACUCGCACAAAGGAUUCAAAAGCUACAAUCCAUCAUAAGGAUAUUGCAGCAUAAGAUUAUACUUAUAUUUACAUUAAAAGUCGUUUUCACGCAGAAAAUCACUUCUAACAAGCUACAGUAAGGAUAGAACAUAUAUAUAUAUAUGUAUAUUCCAUUAUUUCAGAAUCCGAGGAUGGCGUACCACGGAUAUCGAGGAGGGGCGGAAUGUUUUCACAAAAGUUGUCCCCAGUAUAACCGCAGUUAGUGGUCCCGAUGCUCUGAGGAAUCGCAAACUCUUCUUCGAAUUCCCCUGGAACACAAAUUUAAGUAUGAAAAAGUUUAGUAAGCACAUUCCCAUGAGCUUCUUCAAGAAGCCAAAAAGAAGUAGCUCUUACCAAGUACUUCAUAAGAAGAAUAAUUGCGAGGAUUGUUGAUCCCAUUAGAAAGGGGGGCCAUGAGAACUACAUCAAACCAAAAUUAGUCGCAAAUAAUAGUAUAACAAGAUACAGUCAAAAAAUGUAAACACAAAAGAGUUGUGACUUUUUAAUCUGAUUUCGAUGGACUAUGGAAAAACACUCACAUCUGCAGCUCCAGCAAUUAUACUCCUCGCGAGCGGCACGAUUUUGCUACUCCUCUCCACAUUGUACCCCAAGAAGUACUUCGCUUGAGACAACGCGAUUACAAUAGCCGAGGAAGUGACAAACCCGGAUAUUACUGAGUGGCUUAUGAACCUCAGAAGCCAACCAAGCCUGAAGAAUAAUUGAACAUGACAUUAGAAAGAUGAAGGAAAAGAAAACAAUUUAAGUAGCUCUUCUAGGAAAUCUCUAGUGAUUGUCGAAACUAAAGAUAAAAUCGCGAGAAAAUUGUUACAGUAUGGUACCUCAAAAGCCCCAUUAUACAUUCUAAUACGCCGACCAUAAACGCGAGUAGUAUAGCGAGCUCUGUGUACAAUGCAUCUGAAGGAUCCACUAUGUUACCCAAGACAUUGGAAACUAAGAGGGAUACCAACGUCACCGGACCGAUCGCGAGUUGGCGUGACGAUCCGAAAAUGGCAUAUACGAAUAUCGGAACGAAACCAGAAUCUGCAUCCGAAAACAUGAGCUCAUCGCGCAAAUAACAAAACCGAUAGCUAAUGAAGAAACAAGAUAACAUAUGAAUAAAUCGAAUCAUACUCACAAAGCCCAUAAAUUGGGUGAAGCCCAGCUAAUUUUGCAUAUGACAUUGCCUGUCCAAUUUAUACCAAAUAGUGAACAUCAAAGUAACAAAAAGAAAAGAAAAGAAAAGAAAAGCAAAUAUAAGAAGGCAUGAAACUAUGAAAAUCUCGCAAACUUCGGUUUCGAUUCAGGUCCAUUAAAGGCCUCGAACGAAAUCCAUAAAUUUGGGUCUGUUUGAAAUUCCAAUAAAAACCAAACAUGGCAAUGCCGGUUUGCGAUCCAAUUUAUAUUUCUAUGGUUACACGCAAUGGAGAAAAACAGUUAUUUCAUAUAAUUUAACAUAGUAUUAGAAUAUGAGGUUUCGAGAUCAAGUGCCGUUAGGCUCCUUACAUUUUUAACUUUAUACUAUUUAAUUUAAGUUCACGUUUUGAACCUAUUAAAAUAACUUGAUUCCAGAUGUGAGGGAAGUGUUGAGUAUAAAUAUUAAGAACGUUGUACUCCAGAAGCUUAAGAUUUGUCUCAUAUAAUUUAACAAAAGUUUUGUUUCAAAUCAUGCCUGGGGGAUGAGCAUGACGCCGACCGUGAUCCCCGCCAUGAGGUCCAUUUGAAAAUACUCCUGCCAUUGGUAAGUCCGGAUCCACCGCGUGCACGGGAACACGAACUCCAUCACGUGCAGUGCCGACAUGCUCUGGAGCUUCGACCGCCACUGGGCGAAGAGGGAGGGGGGCGAAGGGAUCAGGGCCGACGAGGACGGCGUGGGCCCCAUGAGGGGUCCCGGCCCCGCCCUCGCCGGGCCCCGGACGUGCCGCGCGAGCCCCUUGAUGACGUCGGAGUCCGCGAUGUUGAGAUUGCUCGAGGUUGCGUAGGAUAUCUCCAUCGGUAUCUCUCUUUCUCCCCCUCCUACAACAUUGAUCAUCUGUUCUCUUGUUUCGACCGUUAGCGGUUUAAAUUUGGCGGGAGAAGGGAACGGGGUGUAUUUGUAGGGGUCGUGGUACGAGAAACGGACACGUGGCGAGUAGGUCGUUCGAAAAUGUGGAACAUGAAUUGAUGUAGGGGGAGCUGAUGAUUAAGCGCUCUUAUUGGUGCUCGUGGGCGGAGUUGCGUACGUGUCGAUUCAUGAUUGGUGGACGCAAUGCUGUUUUAUGUUCCGGAUACAGCAGCUGAACUUUUGGUGCAUCCCUUACUCAUGGUGGAAUUAUUGCAUGGACCGUGGUCUACCCUGGACCGAUCUUCUAAAUUCAAUCCUAGAGAUUUUAAAAAUAAUAUAAUAUAAACAUUAUUUUCAAUAAAUACAUGCAGAAAAACAAUAAUAAUAUUUUAAAUUGUCUGUUUUUUUAGUACCAUAUUUUCAAAUAUUAGUUUUUAAUUUAUAAAUUAUUUUAAAGAUUGAAAAUCACGUAUAAUAAUUUGAUCUACAUUUUAAUACGGUGGACUGAGUCCACGCAAUAAACUCUCCUCAUGCAUGGGAUACGCUACAUAAGUGUACGUACGCUACGGGCUGCGGCACAUGUAUCUCCCCUGUAAACUUAGAAAUUCUCUUUUUAGAUCUGAGGAACAGAGAAAUUAUUGGGCUGGGUAUAUACGUGCAUGUUUUACACCACACUACUGAAAAGUUUUAAUAGAGAUUUUAAAAUAAAAAAUUUAACUUAUUAAUUGCAUAUGUGUGUGUCUUUUAAAAUCUAAAGUAGCAUUGAAUUCUUAUUUUUUUAAAAGGCUAUAGGCCCGAUUCUGAAACUCCUUUAUUACUAAUCAUAUAUUUUACUAAAUCAUUCUAUUUUUAAGUGAGCAAAUAAUCGGUAAUCUGAAAUACUAAUCAGCUGCGCGAGACAAUUACGAUGGUGCAUAAAAGCAUCUUCAAACCAAUGCAACCCCAUAGGUCAAUAACAGCCCCUUUUGAGAAAAAAAGAAAGAACAAAAAAUGAGAAGUAAAGGGCCUCAUAAUUGGGAAAAAUGCUACAAGAUAGCAUAGCAUAAUUAUGCAAGGAGACAAAUAACAUUAUCAUAUAUAGGCAUAAUAUCUUAAUUGGUGUGUUGCUUAAUUGCUAGUGACUUAGUUAUUACAGUGACUGAAUUGAAGUUUCCUUCCUGCAGGACAGAAGCUAUAGGACAGUACCUACCAUCAGGAUAAGUAAGGACUAAAUAAUUAAUGCAUAGAAUAAGUGUAGGACUAUUGAAGGUUUCUGAUGAAGUUAAUUUCGAAUCUUUAUUACAAUGUAUUUAUCUUUCACUUUAAAAAAUAUUGUCAAAUUUUGUCAGGGUUUAAUAGUUCUGUUUAAUUAAUGAAAGUUAAACAACAUUCCAUUACAUAAUGUUUUAAUACUAGUACGAAAAGAAGUUAUGAGAAGUAGUACUACUUUGUUAACUAACUAGGUUUACAUCGAGCACCAGAGCUAAUUAUUUUGUCAAUAUAUAGAAUCCUUCUGAGAAAUAAACAAUUGAACGAUUAUAGAGAACUCAAUCUAAAGAAAAAUUAAUUGGGGAGUAAAAAUUAGCCAAGAGUUUUUGUUGGGUUGGGAAUAAUAGUUAGUUAUAUUUCAUUAUGAACUUUGAUUAAAAAGUUGAGAAUGAAAGACCUUUAUCAUCAUUUGGGAUUAAACUUCGAUCUUAUCGCUGAUUAACUAGAUAUAAAAAGUAACACAAAAUUUCAAAUUGGAUAUAUUCAAAUAAGAUGAUUUAGUUAAAUAAAACAGAAGCAUCUAAACUUUUAAGAAUAUAUACUUUAUUUAAAUAUAUAUAUUUUUUAUUAAAAUUUAAAAUAAUUGAUUUUGGGGACACCUGUAAUAUAGAUAAGUGUUGUUGAUACUUCAUAAGUAGUGCAAUUAACGCACUAAUAACAACCUAAAUAAAUAACGUUACUCCACAUAAGAAUAAGUCCUUGACACACAUAUCUCAUCUUAAACCGUAAUUCCUGUACACUCGGAAUAUCUCCCGAAUAAAAUGCGCUCUUUAUUCCAAUUUCGCCUUUAAAUAUCGUGCAUCGAUCCCGUACUUUCCCUUCCGCGUAUAACGACUCGUCUCUCUCUCUCUAUCCCUCCUCUUUAAUUCCCACUCUCUUCUUCGUCCUCGUUGGCGUCUCCCUUUUGCUUCGAUUUGGGCGACAAUGGAGAUCGAUCUUGCUCCGAAGCAGCCGAAGAAGUCGUAUGGAGGCGACGGGGGUUCGUAUUACGAGUGGUGCAGCGGCGACCUCCCCAUGCUCGGGGCGGCGAAGAUCGGCGCCGCGAAGCUCGCGCUGGGGAAGCGCGGGCUCGCGCUCCCCAGCUACUCCGACUCCGCCAAGGUUGCCUACGUCCUCCAAGGUAUGGCGAUCCCCCUCCGAUUCGAUCUUCGAUCUAGGUUUGUGAUUUGAGUUCGGAGAAUCAUCGCGAUGCCCUGUGUUAUCGAGUAGUGUUUCGAUCGUUUGGUUUCGUGAUGAGAUUGAUUGGAUCCGUGCCCUAGUUUAGUUUGUGUACGAAUCGCUUAUUUGUUUUUUUUAGGGUUUAGCUGAGACUGAGGACGUAUGGGUCCACUUCGAUUAUUUUAUUAUUCUAUUAUUUUGUUUUUUUGCUAAAAAAUUUGACUACGGUAUUGUUUACUAAUUAAUGUCUGCGAUAAGGAUCGCGUGUCGAUAUUAUAAUAGUCCUCGUGUAGUAGAAGUAGCAUUAAUUAGUUUUAAAUGGAAGCAUGAUAGUUAAAAUUAGUAUGUUAAAAAUGUUAAUCUGAUAGAAAAUGAUUUAAAAUGAUUUAAGAAUAUAAUUAGACACAAGGAAUUUGCUUUGUCAAUAUCAAUUCCCAAAGAUGGGGACAUAAUCCAUGAAUUGGGGGGAUUUAGCCCAUUAAAUGAUUAUCGCAUUAAUUAGUUUUAAAUGGAAGCAUGAUAGUUAAUUAGUUUGUUAAAAAAGUUAAUCUGAUAGAAAGUGAUUUAAAAUGAUUUAAGAAUAUAAUUAGAUACAAGGAAUUUGCUUUGUCAAUAUCAAUUCCCAAAGAUGGGGACAUAAUCCAUGAAUUGGGGGGAUUUAGCCCAUUAAAUGAUUAUAACAGGACUUGAACCCACAACCUCACAGAAUCGAGGGAGAAUAGAAGUGUCUCUAAUGCCACGUUACUUAAAAUAUUGAUCUGAUGGUUAACUAGCUGAGAAAUAUAGCUAAGAAGUUUGACUAAACGGAAGUAAUAUAACUUAUAUUCUGCUGGAUUUGAGUCUUGCGGAUUGAUCUGAAUCUACCUAAAAACUUUACUCUUUGAUGUUGUUGAUAUUCUCUUCAGAAUUGUGACUCUGAUUAAUUAAAUGGACAUCCAUUUUCUUUGGUAAGAAGAUUUUCUACGUUCAAAAAAAAUAAGUUACAGAUGAGACAUCGUUAUCUCUGCAUGUUUGUUUUCUAUGAUAUUAUAGAAUCAGUUGGCCGAAAAAUCAAUUUCUGCGAAUUCUUUGGCUCCUUCACCAUGGAAGUAAACAUUGCUAGAAUGGUCCAAGUUAGUUCAUGGCUAUACGAUGCCUAUGUAUAAUUACCCAGGAUAAGAUAUUUUUGUCAUUUGCCUUUUGAACUAACAGUCUUCUUUCUUUCAUUCCCAACUAUGCAUAAUGUUACUUAAGAGUUAAGACUCAACCAAUUUCUCAUCUUCUUAGUUUCUAGUUGUUUGAAUACAUUAGAUAUUUUGCCGAAGGAUUGAGAAAAUCAAUGAUCCUAGUUAGAUUACUUGCAUCUGAUCAUUCAUUUUGAAGCCUUCGGCAUUUCGAAACUGGUUGGUUAGUAGUUAUCUAUUCUUUUCCAUCAUCCAAACAUCUAUGAUCCUUAUCCUUUUCAAUCUUUUGCCUUUUCAAAUCCUAGGAAGUGGAACUUGUGGUGUUGUGCUCCCAGAAGCCACUAAAGAAAAAGUGAUUGCCAUCAAGAAGGGCGAUGCUCUCGCCCUCCCCUUUGGCGUCGUCACCUGGUGGUUCAACCCUAACGAUGCUGAACUCGUUAUCCUCUUCCUAGGCGAUACCUCAAAGGGCCACAAGUCUGGCCAAUUCACAAACUUCCAGCUCACCGGCUCGAAUGGCAUCUUCACCGGUUUCACCACUGAAUUCGUAGGCCGUGCUUGGGAUCUCUCCGAAUCUGAGGCCACUAAACUGGUUGGAUCCCAAUCAGAUGCCGGCAUAGUUAAGCUCAAGGAUGGCCAGAAAAUGCCCGAGCCAUCUGCUAAAGACAGAGAGGGCAUGGCUUUGAAUUGUGAAGAAGCCCCUUUAGAUGUGGAUAUAAAGAACGGGGGACGGGUUGUCGUGCUGAACACACAGAACCUUCCGUUGGUUGGAGAGGUCGGGCUCGGGGCUGAUUUGGUAAGGUUGGAUGGUCGAGCCAUGUGCUCGCCCGGGUUUUCUUGUGACUCGGCUUUCCAGGUGACUUAUGUGGUUAGGGGGAGUGGCAGAGUUCAGGUUGUGGGAAUUGAUGGAAAGCGGGUUCUUGAGACAAAGGUGAACGGUGGGUAUUUGUUUAUUGUGCCGAGGUUCUUUGUGGUGUCGAAGAUUGCUGGUGAAGAGGGGAUGGAGUGGUUCUCGAUCAUCACAACUCCCAAGUAAGUACACCAACACCUUUGUAUAAACUUAUGUGGAAACCUAUGAUGUUAAAUAGCAGUUUUAGUUCAGUGCAUGCUCAAGCUCUAUAUGAUAGAAGGCUCCUAGAGUGAACUAGUCUAGUUUUACCUAUGUCGCUGAACAAUCUGGUUAUAGCAAAGCUAGAGAAAACCAUCUUUCGAUGCCUUUAGCCAUGUAGCGAACUUGAUGGGCAAAAACAUUUCAACCGUAUAAAACAAACACUUAUGUGUGUUUUCUUACUUUACCAUCUGUCGUAAGUUUAGAUCUAUCAUAGUAUUCAUAGUUUAAGUGACUAGAAAUGCAGAGAGAGUACGCCCGCAUCUCUCUUCCAUUUUCUCAAGAAAUUCAGGGCGUUGACAAAUUCCUCCGUUUCGCUGAUAGCAUAAUGGCAGUAGACUACAUUGUUUCUUAUUACAUUCGGAAUGCGUCUGUGAAUUGUUUGUGUAUGUAUACAGCCCUGUGUUCAGUCACCUGGCGGGGAGGACCUCGGUGUGGAAGGCGAUAUCGCCGGAGGUGCUCGAGGCCUCAUUCAACACCACCCCGGAGAUGGAGAAGCUGUUCCGAUCCAAGAGGACCUCUGACGCCAUCUUCUUCCCCCCUCCGAACUAGAGGCGCAGGAUUUAUAUUUCCUCUGCCCCAGGCCCCAGGAAUUAUGAUAGUGAAAUAAGAAAGAGGUCUGCCUCUUUUAUGUUGCCUUCGAAUAAUUUUGGAUUCUUAUUUGGCCUCUAAUCCUUUCUUUAAUCUCUGCUUGGAAUUUAUGUUGAGACACCUUAUAAUUAUAACAUAAGGUGCUUUAAAAUGAUGGUCGGUUGCAUUAAUUGUGGUUUUAUACUUUUUUGCGGCUUUACUUUUACAACCGAUAAGAGUCGGUCAAAGUGUGAGUAAUAUCAAGGUGUUCUCUCUCAUUAAGAACUCAAGUCGUAAAGAUCUUGGUUGGUUGGUUUGCGAAGUUCUAAAUUUAAGGUCCAGUUGCUUUACUUUUUCAGCCUAUUCGAAACAAAUAAAUGAAGCGGCUAAUAUGUUGCUUUUCUCUCAAGAAAACAUAUAUGGUAUUAUUGUUGUUGUUAUUAUUAUUACCAGGUUGGGUCUGGGAAAGUCUUAAUGAUCUAAGAAUUGGUUCGAUUACUGGAAUGUUAUUACCAGGUUGCUUUUCUCUCAAAUAAACAGAUUUAUGAUGUAGUUCUCGUUUCCUUCUCAAAAUUAACUUCCUUUUUUCAUUCAAAUAUUAAUCCGGAGCAACGUAGCUUUAUAUUUCUCUCUCGUCCUUCCUAGUGUGAUUCAUUCUUACCUUAUCUCUUUGAAUGUGUGAUUAUUUUAUUUUACCUUAUUAUUAUUAUUAUUUCUAUUAUUUAGAAAAAACAUGGAGGGGUGUGGCCAAAGGUCUAUAAUAAAUAUUAUGUUAUUAUUUUAAAAUUAUUGUUUAAAAAUGAAAUAAUUUUAUUUGUUGAAUACAUUAUUAUUCUAUUAAAUUGUAAACAAUAACAAGUUUUUUUAAUGAGUAAAAAUUAAUAUAAAAAUAAUUAAACAAAGCUUAAACCAAAGAACGUUCUGGACCUUCUGCACAAAAUAUCUAUUCUCUCAAGAGAAAAAGGCAGAGGUUCUUUCAAAAAGCUAAGUACUACACUAUUUAGAAAUGAGAAUUACAACUCACAUACACACUUCCUCUUGUGUGUUUUGAUCUUAACCAAAUCCCACUACUUAUACGUUUCUAGAUACAAUGAACCUAGAUACACACUAACUCUCUCAUUAUGAGAUACAUUAACUCACCCUCAUAAUGAACCAUAAGUCCAAAAGUCACCUCAUAAUUCAUGAGAGUUUCAUAACCCUUGAGUUUUCAUCAUUAAUAGGAGAGGUUACAAAACUCUUUGUCUUCCGACAGUGGGUUAGAUUUGGGUCUCUUUGAUAACCCAAUUUAAUUCAUUUUCAACCCGUUUCACUAGCAGAUAGGCCACUGUCGAGAAAAAAACAGCGAAAAAUAUUUUGUCAUGACAAGGCGUACUGAUUUUUUUGCGCCUCCUAAUCUACGGUACUCUAUUUUCUACCCAUCCGUGUCACUCCCAAGUCAACCUACAGCUGUCGUGUAUCGUACAACGACCUCCGCUCCAAUUCCACACGGCAAACCUUUGCCCGGACCUGGUCCACCACAUCUUCCCAAGACCUCCUCCAUCAUAGACCCUCCAUCCCCUCCUUUCUUGAAAUGGCAACCGUCCAAAAAUUUCUAAUAUAUAUCUUAUUCGUCCAACGGUCCACGAAUGACGUGGUGGACCAGGUUCAAUAGUUCUCCCGCCACCUAUAAUCAUUAUGUCCGCGCCGUCCUCUAUGAUUAUAAUACGGGAGGUGUCCGUUACUUCCACGCCACACCCAAUCCAUUUUUCCCCAAAAUGCCCUCAACAUCCAAAAAUCCCCUCUCUAUCCUCUCCUGCCUCGUCGUCGUCGCCGUCCUCCUCCUCCCCUCUCCCUCCCAUGGCCGUAAAACCCUAGGGCGCCGUAUCCCCACCUCCCUCUACGACGGCUCCCCCGUCUUCCUCUGGCCACUCCCCAGGUACCUCACCAAUGGGAACCAAACCCUCUCCGUCGACCCCAAUCUCGCCCUCGCUGUCGAUGGCCCCGGGGGGAGCUCCUCCAUCGUCUCCGACGCGUUCGAGAGGUACCGGGACCUCAUCUUCAAUCCCUGGGCCAGAUCCGGGUCGCGCGACUCCGCCGCGUACGAUGUCUCCAAGCUGACGAUCUCCGUUGCUUCGGACAAUGAGACGGUGGGGCCGGUGUUUGAUUCGUCCUGGUUUUGGCUUAGCGUUUCUUUUUUCUUUCUGGUGGAUUGGGCUAGGGUUUUGAUGGGUGUGUGGUUUGGGAUCUACAAUUCAGCUGCAAUUAGGUGUGGACGAGAGCUAUGCGCUUUACGUGGGCGGCGGAGCGAGUCUCUCGAUCGUUGGUGGAGCAACAAUUGAGGUAUUAAUGAUCUCUUAUGCUGUUAAUUUAGUUAUUUUUUGCACAUUUGUACGGGAAUUUUGAUAGUUUAAAAGUAUUCGUGUUUUAGUGAGUGCAUGCACAGUGCCCUCUGCGCCAGAAUUACAUGGGACUAACUAGGUUCUUUGAACAUCUGCUUGGAGAAGUAAUUGAUGGAAAUGGUACUAAAGUGAAUGUCCUUUAGGAUCAUAUACUAUGGCUUCCAAUAAUACAAGUAGGGGGAUUCUAUAGUACAAAAUACUUCUCAAUGAAUAUGAUUUGGUCAAAAAGACUGGGAACUUGUAAGCACAAGGAAAUGACUUAAGUUUUAGUAGUACAAUUGAUUUGUCUUCAUUUGCAAUUAUUGCAGUGUGAAAGAAUAUUACUUUUUUCUUUUGGUCUGAAAAGCAACUGAGUGGUCAAAAUGAUUGUUUCAUCAGUUCUCACUAGCAUGAAAUCAGCUAUUGCACACUAUUAUGGAGCUAUUACUUAAAUAUAAAUUUGACUAAAUUAUAAGGUGAAAUUUUUUUUUUUGCGAAUUUACUAUUCUGCAACUACUUAAUGUGUAGUAUCUGGUUUAACUAGUAAUUGACUGCUAAUUUGAGAGGGCAACCUAAUGUAUGUUCAUUUUCCUUUUCUGUGUUAGUGUUAACCUCCUCAAUCUUAUCUGUGAUAAUCAUUUGACCAUUUGGGGAUCUACGACAUAUUCUGGAUAGAUAUAGGAGAUAGUGUUGCAAAAGUAAUGUCCAUUUCAGUGAAGAAGGUGCUUCCUUUUUCUUAUAUAUAUAUUAUGGAACUAGUCGAAUUAAUUAUUAAUGUCUGCUGUUUCCAUUUAUUGCAGGCUAAUACUGUAUAUGGGGCUAUUCGCGGAUUAGAGGUAUGCAUCGCCACUCAUACAGUCAUACUCUACGAAAGUUCUUUAGUUACUACUACAUAUCUAUUUUGUAAAGCUUAUGCCUCUGUUCAUUAAUACAGCAUACAUUUACUUUUAAGUGACCCAUCUUGUAGUGCACGAGUCUCUUUACUAUCUUGACAUACAAACUGCUUACACCCUUAGUUAUUUUCUUAACUUGCGUAGAUAUCACUUGUAGGGGUACAGUUUAUUCUUGCCUAUUUCUAAGCAUCAAGUUGUCUUGCUAGGUUCCCUUUUUUCUGAUUCUUUCGGACGAUUUGUUCCCCCCGCCUAUAGUAUUAAUUUGUUUAAAUUUUUUGUCUGCUACGCUGCAGAGCAGUUUUCUCCAUUUCGUGAAUGAUUUUCUUUUUUUUCCCCUGAGUAAUAUCCAUUUGUUUUUCCAGACAUUCAGCCAAUUAUGUAUAUUUAACUAUGACACUAAAAAUGUUGAAGUAUACAAUGCACCGUGGUAUAUUCAAGACGAACCGCGCUUUGCCUUUCGUGGGUUGCUUCUUGGUAAGGCAACAAUUCCCACCCACUAAAUAGAUGCAUACAUUUCAAGAUGUUGUUCCACUAAUCCACUAGAAAUACACAUUCAUGAUUGUUCAUUCUUAUAGUUUGCAUGCAUUUUUGCAGAUACCUCACGGCAUUUCCUGCCAGUAAAUGUGAUCAAGCAAGUGAUUGAUUCUAUGUCUUAUGCUAAACUUGUAAGAGAUUUUUUUUUUUCCUAUGGCAUAAUUUCACUCUUGAUUUGCCUUUAUAAGUAGGGUUGUGUUAUAGGGAUAUAUUUGAUUGAGAUCCUCAUAGACUUUUUCCUUUGGACUGGUAUAGCUGAGUUAUGCCUGAAUUUAUUUUUCAGUUUGUUUCUUCAGUCUCUGUACUAUUUUCCUUAAUAAAACUUCAGUCCCUGUAUUGCUUUCAUUGUACUAUCCAUCAAAUAGCAUUAGCAUAUUUAGUUACUGAAGCAAUAUACCUUUACUCUGUUCUUUCUUCCUUUUUAGAAUUUUCUAAAUACUGGGCUUGCAUACUGAUACUGAGAAUUGCAUUCAGUAGAAUGUGCUUCAUUGGCAUAUCAUAGAUGAACAAUCCUUUCCUCUGGAAGUACCGUCUUAUCCAGAUCUGUGGAAAGGUUCAUACACAAAAUGGGAACGAUACACAAUCGAAGAUGCUUAUGAAGUUGUUGAGUAAGUUAUUUUCUUGAGAUUACUAGUUGUCCUUUGUACUCUUUUGCUGUUAUGGCCUUCAAUCUUUUGAUAACAAUGCAAAAUUUUUGCCUACAUACCCGAGUUGAAUAAUCUAAAGUAUAGCAUGCAUCUCACUUCCUUUGGUUCAGAUCUAACUUUUCAUUUUUCUACACUGUUGCAUGCAUAAUCAGCUUGUAAGAUUCUAGUUUAAAAUUACUGGUACUUGCUGUACCAUUCUUCUAUAUACUUUCUUCUCUGCUAACUUUUUUUUGGCUCUUUUCUCUCCAUUUGCAUGUUUAUAUUGUGGCGAAAAGCUUUGCUAAGAAGAGAGGUAUGGUUUAUUUCUAACCAGCAAGCAUCAACAAUUUCAGGCAUUCUAGUUUUCUAUAACUCUUGUGUAUUCUCCAUAGUCCGACCAUACAAAGAUGGUGUUUACAAGACUUCAAAUUACAUAUUUGAUGAUGGAUAUCACUCUCUGUCCAAUUCUUGUUGCUGGAAUAUGGCAUUUGACCUGCAUUUCAAUUUUCCUCAGAAGAGCUAAGCUUGUCUAUCACUACUACAACUUUAUUUUGUCCUUUUCAGGCAUUAACAUUAUGGCAGAAAUUGACAUCCCUGGUCAUGCAGAAUCAUGGUAAAUAUUCUUUGACGUGUUAUUGCUUUUUUAUUGAUGAUGUGGGAAGUACAGUGAGGGGCCGAAUGAUAAGCGAAAGUGAAGUGUAACUUAUGCCUGUGACAAAGCCUUAAGACAAUGGAGAAGAGUAACUGUAUUCUUAUUCCAACAAACUAUACAUCAUGUCCUAACGAAUACCUAAAACGUAAAUAAUAUUUUAUAUUGAAAUGAUGUCGUAGUUAAAACUGUUGUUCUACAAGCUUAAAGGAAUCUCAAACUUGUCUGUGGAAAACAAGUUAGGAGCAAAUUCCCAACCAGAUUAAUAUGUUCCCUUUAUGGGUCAGAUAAUACAACAUUUAUGCAGCUACUUAUCUUCUACAAGCAGAAUACUGUUACAUAAUUUCACUAAUCAAUUAUCAUGCUUUGAAAGAGGGACUUUUAUGCAAGAGCAAUAGUGUCUCAUGUCUAAGGCAAAAAAAUAGUUCACUUAUUAAUUAGAGCAGUAAGCAAUAUUCCAGAUUAUAUCAGGGGUUAUCAAUGCAUUAUCUCUUUUUUAUACUAUUUUCUUGACUGUUAACUUUUAAAACUCUGGAAUAUGAGUUCGGCUCUCAGAUACUUAUAUCUAUGAUUCAUUGGUGAUUGGAUAGCAGGUACUUCUUAAUUUGCUGAUUUGCUAUUGCAAAGUUUCUAGUCUUCUUAAUCAAAAGUUAUUUAUUUUAUUGUCCAGGGGAAGUGGUUAUCCUGAUCUCUGGCCUUCUCCCAAUUGUACAGAGCCGUUAGAUGUCACAAAAAAUUUCACAUUCGAAGUGAUUUCUGGAAUUCUGUCUGGUCAGUUUUCUUUUUCUUCCCCAGUCUCUCUCUUUUCAAAAUACAGGCAACUGUAUAGGUAUUUCGUGAUUACCCUCUUUAGUGAGUGUACUAAUUGGCCUUUUUAAAAGGCCUUUGAACUCGAGUUUAAAUGUAUUCUUUCUGAUCUAAACUCGACAGGUGGUUAGCUGAAAUGGAAUUUAUCAAUUCCAGAUUUAAUGACCGUUGUCUUGUUGCCAGAUUGUUGUGUAAUACUGACACUUUAGCAAUCAAUCUAGCAGUGAAUUUAUUACUCUACUUAUAUGAAAUCUAGAUAUCGCAUUUGAAAAAUAUUUCAGUUGCAGACCAAUUUAUUGGGCAUUCCGCUCGAUCCUAUUAAGUUAAUCUGCUACCUGUUCAAGAAUAAGAAUUUUUUUGCUAUGAAGCAUUGUUGAUCUUGAUCUUUAUAUCAUUUCAGAUAUGAGAAAAAUAUUUCCUUUUGGUUUGUUUCACUUGGGCGGGGAUGAAGUUAAUACAGGUUAGCCAAUUCUCUUUCAGACUCUGUCCUGCUAUCUUUUUCAUUAGUUAAGCAAGAAAAGUAAUUGCUAUUUUACCAAAGUACAUGAGACGUAAUUUGUUCAUGCAAUCUGAUUUUCUUUCUGAUUCCAUAAGCUGCUUUAUUAGAGGUUUAAUAAUUGAGACUCUGUUGUAAAAUGAUCUUGGCCGAAGUAUCUGAUGCUAAAUCCUGCAAAUGCUUCUUCUUUUCUUUUUCUUUUGUCGGUUGAGAUUUCCCCAGUUUUGCUGUUUAACUGAUUAAAGGUUUAGCUCUGCUAAUAUUAAGUAAACGAUUAUGAAGUUAUCCUUAUCUAAUUCAUGCUUUAAAAAAAAUUCAGAUUAUCUCCAACUUGAUGUCAAUUUGAAGCUUGGAGCAUUAUCCUUUCUUAAUAGUGAUACAUUAUAGACGACUCAUAUUGUGACCACUUCUUGUACUAAAUUAUUGUGGAAAGCUCUUAAUUUCUAUAUAGAUGAAAUUCUAGAACCUAAAAUCUUGUUGGUCAAUGCUGUGCAGAAUGCUGGAAUUCGACAGCCCAUGUGAAGCAAUGGUAAGAGAUUCUCUAUUGCUUAUGAUGUCAGACUUCUAUUUCUAGCAUCAAGAAGUAAUUCACACUUGAAGUGCAGAUCUAACUUUGCACCUCUCUUUUGCCUUCUUUCAGUCCUCUCUUUUGUAAUUUUUCGGGGGAAAAAUUCUGGAAAAUUGGAAGUUAAAUCAAUCAGCAAUGGCGUAUUUCAAAUACUAACCCAUUAUUUAUGCAGGCUUCAGGAGCGAAACAUGACUACAAAGGAUGCAUAUCAGUACUUCGUAUUGAGGGCUCAAGGGUUGGCAAUCCAGCUUAACUGGAUUCCUGUAAACUGGUGUGACAUUUUACCUUCCAGAAACCGUUGAAUAACAGAAAUAAUUGCCUCUAAAUAUUAACUUUAAAUAGAGUGUUAUUUGUGCUGUGGCAGGGAAGAAACCUUUAACACAUUCAGCGCAAACCUCAAUCCUUUAACAGUUGUGCAUAACUGGUGGGUCCUCAGUUGCAUCUUUCCAUCUCUUUGUAAAUUUGUUGCUAGCUUCUUUUUAGUUAUUGUUGGCUUCUUGCAGGUUGGGUCCUGGAGUUUGCCCUAAAGCUGUGGCGAGGGGUUUUAGAUGUAUUGUAAGCAAUCAGGGCGUAUGGUAUCUCGAUCAUCUAGAUGUUCCUUGGGAAGAAUUCUAUAAAAGCGAACCACUCGAAGGAAUAAAUAGUACCAUGCAGCAAAAGCUGGUGCUUGGUGGUGAGGUUUGCAUGUGGGCUGAGACGGCCGAUACGUCGGAUGUUCAACAAACAAUAUGGCCUCGUGCUGCGGCUGCUGCAGGUAUGCUGAAAUAUCUCCUGAUUCGCUGAAAUCAAAAGAGAAUGUCAUUAGAAUUUAACUAUUUUAUCAUGAACUCAUUUUUAGGGUGAUAAAAGUUUUUUUUUUUUUGCUGCUUUAUUGGUCCAUGACAAUCUUUUAAUGUCAUUUAUGACAAUGUAGCUGAUUUGACAGGUUUUUUCAUGUCACUUUCCACUUCAUUUAUAAAUUUUAGUAUAUCCGGAACUUCUUCAUUCCCUCGAAUACUCACACUUGUUAGAACUAUACCUUCUUGUGCAGAGCGGUUGUGGAGUCCGCUGGAGGCUACUUCUGUUGGGAACCUGAACUUAACGGUGCUACCGCGACUACAUUACUUCAGAUGUUUACUGAACCAUCGCGGAGUCGCAGCUGCUCCCGUCUCAAAUCUCUAUGCACGCAGUCCCCCGACUGGUCCCGGUUCAUGCUUUGCUCAGUGAUGGAUGUUUUCUAUAUUUAUAGUCGCAUGGUGGUCUCUGAUUGGUCCUGGCUCGAUUCUAUGCGAGACUCUGUAUCAUUCCAUUCUUCCUGCUGUUACAAAAUAAUGAUUAUAACUCAUCGUAUUGGUGUGUGUAAUUCAGUGCAUCGGUUCUCUGUUCUUAACGUACAGUUUCUUAAUAAAUUAUUUAUUACUCUGUUUCUGUUUCAAAUUGUUUAACUAUGCGUUAUCUAUUUUAAGAUCUAAAAAUUGGAUGCCUGUUUCUAGUUGUUCUUCUGAGUGAUCAGAGUCUAUCUAUGGUUCGUUAUUGGUGGUAAAGUUAGGGUGGGAAAGCUUUCUUAGUGGCCAGUUUGGUAUUAGGAUUUAGGACCACACAGAGAUAUGUUUUUUCAUUUGUGUCUUCAGGAGGAUCGGAAAAAUUAUACCCUAAUUAGUUAAUUAGUGAAUUAGUGUUACACGAUACUGUUUACAGAGUUUAACAAAAUAUUUUUUUAUUACACCUUUUUUAACUGCAUGUAACAUAUUUGACUUGUAAUUUCAAACUCAGCCUAAUUGGGAUCAGACGUGCGCAUUAGGGCUUUUUUUGCAAAUAGCCCCCUGACAAAUUUUAUUUGCAAAAAUACUCCCGUCCAAAAAUUAUUUGCAAAAAUGGCCCUGCCCCUGCCACGCCAGCGCCACGUCAACGCCACGCGGGCAGAGCGUGAACACGGUGAACCAUUCACCGUGUUCAAUACAAAAUUUUUGUAUUGGACACGGUGAAUGGUUCACCGUGUCCAAUACAAAUACCCCAAUAAUGACUAAGUUGGAGGUAUUUGUACUAGACACGGUGAACCAUUCACCGUGUUCAAUUAUUUAUAUUGAACACGGUGAAUGGUUCACCGUGUCCAAUACAAAUAUUUCGAUCUUAGCUAUUUUGUAUUGGACACGGUGAAUCAUUCCAAUACAAAAACUUUGUAUUGAACACGGUGAAUGAUUCACCGUGUUCAACUUAACCAUCUGGCCCAGCCCCGCCCGCGUGGCGCUGACGUGGCGCUUGCGUGGCGGGGCCAGGGCCAUUUUUGCAAAUAAAUUUUUGACAGGGCCAAUCUUAAAAAAAAAAUUUGUAAGGGGGCUAUUUGCAAAAAAAGCCCUGCGCAUUAUGUCUGGCCCGAAGUUAAUUACAAGGUGGCGCAUCCAAUUAAAACACUGGAUUAGUAUAUUCAAUAAAAUUAAUUAAUUAAUUAAAUUUUCAAUUGAAUAUUUUUUUAAAAAUAAUUAAGUUAAUUAUUGAGAUUGGAAGUAUUAGCUCGGAAUUGGAGGAGACCUCGAUCUCAGACCCAUUCACUCCUAUUGGGCUCCGAUCAAAUGGUUUUAUUGGGCCGGAUUAAAUUUAGUUGGGCUUUGCACUGGGCCCCACGUUUUCAUUGUUAACUCUGUAUUAUGACCUUGUUGUGUUUAAAGAUUUUUACGCAUUGGUUAAUCCAUUUAGUAUCCAACGUAAAUAUCAAUGCUGAGCAUGAAACAACUUCCUUGUAAUGAAACACUGAGUAUGAAAGAUAAUAUAAUAAUAAUAAUAAAUUGGUUAACAAAUGAGAUCUCCUUUAACAAAAGGAUCUUUACAAGGGAACAAUGAACAAAUUCACAAAUUAUCCUUUGUAAUAAUAAGCCAAAGCAAGCGCGAGUUACGUUUUCCGAGAUAUAUUAGUUCAAACUCUAUGACUGGAAUCUCCAAAAAGAACACAUGGAUGUCAUAGGAUAUAACUUCUCCAUCUUUUUAUGUCUUUUGUGUUCUCGUUUCGUCGAUUCUGAAAGAAUCGAUGACAGUGUGCAGCCUGUCCUUCAUCUUCUCCCAUCUCCGUUCGUUGGCUCCUGUCGUCAAUGUAUAAAACUUGCCUGCCAAAGCAUUUCGGAUGUUAUCAAGCGCGUUAAGCUAAUCACACAGCAUUAAGUUAUUAAUUGCUUUACAUAAUUAAGAUCUUCUUAAUGCUGGUCUCUCUACAUGAAUAACAUUCAACUUUCAAAGCAAUAUCGAUCGAUCGAUCGACAGAUACACCAACUAAAAGGAAAAAAAAAAUGCUAUAUUCUGAUGUUUAGGUGCAGAAAAUGACUUCAGCAUACAUACCAUUUGCAAUAGUAAUUGCACCAAGUGCAUGUCUAGUGAAGUUUGGAGCUUGGGCCGUAAACUCGAAGGUGUAAUAAGCUUUCCCGUCAACAUCAUGCUGGGCCAAGAAAGAACUUUUGUGUAAGUUCCUCACUAAAAGGGGCGGCAAAAAAAAAAAGCUCAAACCAAAAAUGCAGCAAACGUACCUACAUUUGCACCUAACUCUUGCGCGUAUAAACUAUAAACAAGAUUGAAAGGAUACCUUCAAUAGAGGGCUUUAGUUUCAAAAUACUAGUAGCUUUUAGCUCAACGAUAAGAUUUAAAAGAAAAUGGCGUCGUCUACAACUAACUUAUCUACUGCAUUGUGUUGCCCUUAAGAAAUUAAAGCCAAGAGAAUUACAGCAGGACUUGGUGCAGAUGAUUGAUUGAGGAAUAAUGAAAUGCUGCCCGCUUUAUAUAUUUAUACUCAUUUCAGCAGUUUAGAAAAAGAAAAAUGGAGUAGAUUUUGAAGUUCAAAUAACCAAGCCUUAAUGCACAAUGAACAUAAGUCAUGUGAAACCUAAUUAACUUCUUAGUGGUAAAUCAACCGGAGGAGGUCGAACGAUCAUACCUCAGAGGCUUCGAUCAACUUUGUUUUUUGCGAGGGAGGUGCCAAUACCUUCUUGAUUAAAGCCUCAGCCACCUACGACAAGUGCGAGAUUGCGAAUUUAGUAAAGUAUAAGGAUUAUAAUUACUUAAAUAUCUAAAAAGCGUAGUUUCGACAUAGAACCUGGCUUAUCGCAUCUUAUAGAAACUUAUCUUUUUAGAAAUAUAAAGUAGCAAACCUCUUGUGGGUUUCCAAGAUCCCUAAUAUCUUGCUUGGUAGUGGCAACCAUAUUUACACUGACACUUUCCAAGGGUUCAAUAACAUCUUUGAAAACCUUGUCCUGCCCUCGAAUAACAACUUCCUGCAAUUAAAUUGAUUUAUGAACUAAACGGAACCGCAAUUCAAGGCAAAAUAAACUAUUCAAGAGAGAAUUUCUUUUUCUCUUUCUGAGAGCAAUUUCAGAGGUUAACAAUUCUUACUUGCCAUCCGAAUGGGUAUAAGAAUGAGUACCCAUCCUUCUUGUCCGACACAGCAUUGAAUCCUUUCUUAGCCUCUGCUGCAACUAAAUCAUAUCAGGGUUCUUUUCAGAGAUUCAUCAAUGUGCUAGAAAAAUUGAGCGAGAAACUGCUGCGAUUAAUAAGAAUUCUUCUUUAUAAAGAAUGGAAGAAGAGAUUCAAACCAUAAACGCGUAUAGGAGUUCUAAGUAAAACUCACAUGACGCUGAAUUAACACGAGAUAGAAAUACAGAGGCAGCAAUUGCUCCUGAUAAAAGUACUUGGCGCCGACCAGAUUGCUCUGCAAUGCAAUAAACUUGAUUUUUGUUAAAAAAAAGCUCCAGAUUUAUUAUGCCGUUAUGUUAGGAAUGAUAAAUCGCACAAUUGCUUCCCACAAAAUAAGCAAAAUUACUAUCUCCAGCAGCUAAAAUCUGUGAGUAAGUAUAAAUAAUCAUCAUGAUGUGACAAACCUAGUACUUUGACUUAAAAUUGCUAAGAUGGUUCUGCUAUACUAACAAUUUCCAAUCAACUAAUUUUCCGAUCAUCAUCGUCGACGAAUUUGUACAUAAGGUUACACAUUCAAAUCUUCUGCUCACAUACAUAUUCAUAAUUCUUGUGAAUUACUUGUCAAUCUAUCAGUGCAGCUGUACAAGCAAACAAUCCAAGUAACAAAAAAUUAUGAUACUUCAUCGAAACCCAGUAAGUAAAGGAGCUAAAAAUUUUAUGUUGGGUUACAAACAUUUAGCAUAAGAAUACACAUAAUGUGGAAACUAGGCCCUAUUAUUAAUNCCCUUAGAUCAUACUAUUCAACCAACCACCCACUCAACCCUAGGGGGCCCACAUCAUCCUAACCAUACAUCUCUUAAUCCGAUGGCCAAAAACUUGGUAGCACCAAUGACUUGGUGCUAUUAAUAGCAUAGUAGCCUAGUUCUAUAUAUAUAUAUAUAUAUAUGGGUCCGGCUACUAUACUAUUAUAAGUACGAUCGCUACUAUACUAUUAUAAGUACGAUCGCCCUCGUACUCAUAAGUUGUUUUCGAUGAUAGAACUUCUGAAUCGCCGAUUCACACCGUUAAACGUUAUUCACAGCAUUUAAAACUUCUAGAAAUCAAAUUUUAUAAUUUUUCGACAUCAUUUACCUUACUAUCAAGAGGUUACAAAUUUGACAAUGUUUAACGGCCGGUAUGGGAUACUUGCUAGUUUAACGGUGUAAAAGAAUCGGAAUUUGUUGAAUUUCUGAUAGAAAAUUCUAUUCACUACAUAGAUAAAGAUCAAUAACUCCGAUCUUGAAUUGAAGGAUCCGAUCAUCCUUUUUUACAACGUCGUUCGAUUUUGAUCGUUCAUUUUAUGCCUACUUGAUGGACUUUAUUAUGAUUUCGAAAAUUUACGAAAUUUAUUUUCUAAAAGUUUGAAAUACUCUAGAUCAUAUUUAACGGAGUGGAUCGUCGAUUCGGAAGCUCCGUCAUUGAAAACAACUUAUGAGUAUGAGGGCUUCAAUACUGAUAAUAGUAUAGUAGCCACGACCAUAUAUAUAUAUAUAUAUAUAUAUAUAUAUAUAUAUAUAUAUAUAUAUAUAUAUAUAUAUAUAUAUAUAUAUAUAUAUUCUCAAAAAUCUUAAUUUGUUAGAAAUUACAUGGGUGAGUAGUAGUAGUAGUAACCUGAGAAGAAGAUGGAGAGGCCGCGGAGCCGUUGAAGAGUAAGGCGCCAUGGAGAGGAGGAGAGCUCGUGAGAGAAGAGGCCAUUUUGGAGUGGUGAGGGAUUGGAGAAUUUGGAUCCUUUGUCGACCGUUGGAGGAGGAGAUGGAUGGAUGGGAGAGUGUGGAGAGAGAGAGAGAGAGAGAGAGAGAGAGAGCAAGGAUGUGGCCUUAUCUCAAUUAUCUUGUUUCCGACCGUUGGAUUGAUAUGGUUAUGAUCCGUACCCCCUACGGGUCCAGCUCAGCUGGGCUUGUCCAUAGGCCCAUGGCCCAUUUUGUACACAAUUUUUGCUUAACUUUUUCACCAAAAUGGGCCUAUUUAUGUUGGGCCUGUAUAUGGCCCAUGGACUAAUUUAUAGAGCACGGGCUUUUUAAGCCUCUGUAGAAUAUAUCAAUCUCCAAUCUUAAAAAAUUCCUCUCCUUAUUUUGGGGGCAUUGUGAAUCCCACAUACAUUAUACAUUACUUUUUUAAGAUUUUAAAUACCAUUUUUUUUUAUUAAAUUACCGUACAACUACCGGUUUUACUCCCCCACCAACCGGUCUAUGCAUUAAAAAAAAAAAAAAACCGGGCCGGAUAUUUUUUCCUGCUACUACUAUUUCCAAUCUGAGAACGACCGACGGGUGGAAGGUGAACUCCUACUUUUCCUUUUUCCUCGAUUUCACCUUCUCUCUCUCUCUCUCUCUCUCUUUCUCUCUCUCCGUCCCCAUUUCAUCGAUCUCUCCAAAACCCUAAUACCUACCAGUCCCCCAAGACCCUAAUCCCCUUCGCUCCCCAUGGAUUCCGACCCCAACCAUCGUCCUCUCGACGCCGCCGCCGCCGCCGCGGAGGAUCCAAACCCUAGCCGCUCUUCCGCUCCCGAGCCGAACACCCUCGAAUCCGACGUCGUGGAGCUGUUGGAUUCGCUGACCCUGGACCGAUCCGGCAAUGCGCGCCCCGUAAAACGCCCCACGAGCAACGGAUCUAUGCCCCCGGAUUUCUACAGCUGCGACGAGAUCGAAAUCGAGGAGGAGGAGGAGGAGGAGGAGGAGGGGAAUCCGAGGGAGGAUGGGGCGCGGGGUUCUUCGCAGCGUGGCGGCGGCGGCGCUUCGGAGCAGGAGGAAGAGGGGCCUCCUAGCCCUAGUAGUAGUGGGUAUGCUGGGGAGCGUGGGAGCAGCGUUGGAUCGAGUGGGAUCGAGGAGGUUGAUGAUGGCCGAUCGUCGGUUGACCAUUGGGGUCGCGGAAAACAGCAUCUUGAUGAGGUGAAUGCCCCAAUAAUUUCUAUCUUUUGUACUCGAAAAUGUAUAUAUGGCAAUAAAUUUCAGGUUUAGCUGUUAAAACUGAGUAUAGCUAGUUCAUAGUUCACUAUAGUUAUUACAAAUAGAUACUCGAAAACAACAGUAUACUUCUCUUUUGGAUGCCUAGAUGAAACCGCACCGGAAAAUGGUGAAGAAAAUUGUUAUGAUGGGAAUCUAUCGGGCACUACUGGUUAUUUAUUGUAUACAUAUUAGUCCUGAGUUCGGAUUUGAACUCGAGUUACUUUUAUCUAGCUCGAAUAUGUGGCUUCAACAGUUUGGUAAAGCCACAAGAUAUAGCAAAUUGGAUCAAGGUAGAGACUAUACUACUUCCAUCUGGUAUUUCAUGGGAAGUUUGAACGGCGGGAAACACUUUAUGGUGCAAUUAACAUAUGUCAUAACAUAAUCUGAUGCUAGGAUGGGAAGUCAAAUUUCAGUUUCAGUUUGGGGCUUGUAGAAUUUUGGGUCUGUUCUUUUAGUCCCACAUGUUAAUAUUUUUUUUCAGACACGUUCUUAUGGUACUUAAUCGUUAUUUUAUGAAGUUUGGUCCUGUGAUAUUCUAGUUGUAACCGAUCUACAGGAUGAUGCUUCGGCUACUUGGAGAAAACGAAAAAAACAUUUCUUCAUCUUGAGCCACUCAGGGAAACCAAUAUACUCUAGGUAACUUUACUUUCUGCUUUGGUAUCUAAUAGGUGUGUAACACUUUGGAUGAAGAACAAAAUAUCGCAGAAAUUAGUAAAUUACAUCCUAAAGUUUAAGUAAAAUGAUGUGUCUUUUUGGUAUAAGGCAUCUUAUAACGCUUUCAGGUAUGGAGAUGAACACAAGCUAGCAGGAUUUUCAGCAACUUUACAAGCUAUUAUUUCAUUUGUUGAGAACAGGUAUAAUUAUUAUGUUUGUUAUAUUGAUCAAGUUUUAUUGCAUUUACUGUGCUUGUUUAUUUAAAUCUUAUCCGUUAUGUUUGGUUUUUAUCCAGCGGGGAUCGUAUCAAAUUUGUAAGAGCAGGGAAGCAUCAGGUCAGCCGACACUUCCCUUCCUCAGAUCUUUCUAUGCAUUUUAAAAUGAUCUUCUCCGUUAUAAAUGAUCCUUCACUCAUAUUCUCAUUUUAGUUAAUAUUUCCUACUUUCAGAUAGUUUUCCUUGUGAAGGGUCCAAUAUAUCUGGUAUGCAUAAGCUGUACCGAAGAGCCAUAUGAAGCAUUAAGAGGACAAGUAGAACUCAUCUAUGGUCAGGUGCUUCUACUGCUGCAUUAUCUUAACAUAAUAGGCUGUAUUCGCUUUUGUUUUUGCCUCUUUUUUUUUCCCCUUUUGUUAUGUAUUGUAUUUUGCAACUCAUCCAUUGAAAUAUUAUUUCCUUUCUGAUUUUGUUGUUCUUUCGUGAUGGAAUGGCUGCAGAUGUUACUUAUCUUGACAAAGUCUGUUCAUAGGUGCUUUGAGAAGAACCCAAAAUUUGAUAUGACUCCUUUGCUAGGAGGAACCGAUACCGUCUUCUCCUCUCUUAUACAUGCCUUCAGUUGGUUUGUAUCUUCGCAAUUUUUUCUCCCUUAAAUAAGUAAUUUGAAAUUUUGAAACUGAAUUUGACGGUUUGAUGUAAUUUCCUAAAGCAAAUUAAAGAAGCCUUGAUAUACCCUAUAGUGUACUAUUAAGGGUAUGUUAUAUACUGAUGUCUGCUUUCCUCUUUUCUCAAGGAAUCCUGCCACAUUUCUUCAUGCAUACACAUGCCUUCCUCUUCCAUAUGCAACUAGACAAGCAGCAGGUGCCAUUCUACAAGAUAUUGCGGAUUCAGGGGUUCUUUUUGCGAUAUUAAUGUGUAAGCACAAGGUUUGUCUGAAAUUCUGAUUAUGAUGAUAAGAAAUCAUUUUCAGUUUCUACGGGUACAAGCUAGUAUUGAUGUUAUAUAUUGUUGUUCCCUCAUUUAUUGCACCUAUAUAAUUCUUUCUCCACUUCUCAAUUUGCUUUUCAUCAUGUCCACAAGUUAAUGAAUAUAUAUAUAUAUAUAUAUAUAUAUGAGACUAUAUGAGACUAAUUUUGUGUGUGUCAAUAUGAUGGUCUCAACAGCUUUUAUUCUGUACAAUAUUGCACCAGCUAUACAAGUGACUACAAUAGGUGAUCAUUUGAGAGAUCAUUGUAGGUUGUGUCACACCUAUAAAUGCUUCAUCAGAUGUUGUACAUAUUUUUGCAGUUAGCUUGUUUUUUAUCUGGCUCUUAAUCUGCAGCGAAAGUGGAAACUAAUAAACAUCACAAAUAUUUCAACCUUUUCUGGUUUGAAGAUUCAAUCGAUUUUGCUCGUGUCUUUAUCUUUAUUCUGCUGAAGUACCAUUUUGUUUUGGCAGGUUAUUAGUCUUGUGGGAGCACAAAAGGCAUCUCUUCAUCCUGAUGAUAUUCUUCUUCUUGCCAAUUUUAUAUUGUCUUCUGAAUCAUUUAGGUAAUUCAUAGCGACUUUCAUUAUUAGGUAUUCAUUUGAAAUUCCGUGAGUGGAAAAGUAUUGAACAGGAAUCAUGCAAUGCAGUGAGGUUAACUGCAAAUAAAGUGGGAUCUAGGUCAGUGAAAUGAAGCUACAGCUGCAAAUUAGGAACCAUAGAAUUAAUAGAAAGUCAUUGAGUUGUAAUCACAUAGUUCCAUGUUCAUCUAUAUUGAAAAUGUUGAAGGCUAGGAGAAUAUCUAAACCUCCCUCUCAUGAACCCACUUUGGUGUGAGGUCUAUCAUGUUGUGUUGAUGCAUUAUCAAAUAAAAGAAACAGAGAAAAGAUUAUUUGAUGGAUCUUUGAAGGUGGUUGUGAAACAUGAUGGGAUUAUCUGAACUGCAACCUUUUUGAACUUAAUGGGCAUGGUUUUAAUAAGAGUUAAAUCAAGAACCUUGAAUUUUCAUUGCUAGUCCCUCCUUUUUUGGUGUCUAGAAAAGUUUUCUAUGUCAUACGACAAUUUUAAAGCUAUAUGCAAUUACUGGGUGGUACUUAGUUAAGUUUUGAAGGGCCUACCGGCAUUAGAACAUUAGGACUGCUACCUUUAUUCUUUGGCUUGAGACAUCUGGCAGAUUGAGCUCACCAUGGUCGCCCCUUAUAAUAGCAUUCAGUAGAAACUUGUUCAGAAACUAUUAUAGUUAUUUUAUAUUUGAUUGCUUGUGUUAUUUUCAGAAAGUUAAGUUAUAUGUUUCGUCAAUUUUUUUGUGAUGUUCAUAAGCAUUGGGAUUGCGGAAGAAUCGUCGGAUGAAUCUCCACUGCAAUUUAAUCUUGAUAAAGGGGCACUGCUCUUACACAUUGUAUUCUUGCCUUAUGCAGGACUUCUGAAUCUUUCUCACCGAUAUGCUUACCAAGAUAUAACCCAAUGGCAUUUCUUCAUGCCUAUGUUCAUUUUCUUGAUGUGAGUGGGAAACAGAAAAACUGCUUUCUUGGCAUCUUUGAUUUAUGGUUCAAUUGCCCACAAGGUGUAUUCUUUUGCAGGCGGAUACAUACUUGAUAUUGCUUUCUACCAGAUCAGAUGCCUUCUACCAUCUCAAAGACUGUAGGUGAGCUGUUCCAAAAGAUAACCAACUUAAAUCUAAUGCAUAGGCUUUUCCUCGCUCUUGACAUUUCUUAGCAGAAUGAAGUAUAAUUUCACGUUUCUUACCAAUGCCUAGGGUUCGCAUCCAGGACGUGCUUUUAAAGUCGAAUGUUCUCUGUGAAGUUCAGAGAUCUAUGCUCGAUAGUGGUUUACACGUUGAAGAUCUUCCUCUUGAUUCUUCUCUUCGAUCUGGGUCAAUGCCAGACAGAACAAAGUCUGAAUCCUUAUCUCCUUCUGUGGGCCUUGGUGGGGCCGCAGGGCUUUGGCAUUUCAUAUAUAAAAGUAUCUACCUUGACCAAUACGUGGCAUCAGAAUUUUCCUCCCCCAUAAGCAAUUCUAGUCAGCAGAAAAAGUAUUGCCACUGCUCAUAGUGUUUAUUCUCCAAUCUGUCUCUCCAUUAUCAUUUGUCUUUUCUAAAGUAGAGUUGCCAAUGUGCAGGUUGUACAGAGCUUAUCAAAAGUUAUAUACUUUGAUGCAUGACAGAGGGACUGGUCCACAUAAAACACAAUUCAGAAGAGAUGAAGAUUAUGGUGAGUCUCAUAAGAAAAAAUUAGUUAUCAUAAUUUAAGUUAUCGAGUGGAUCUGGGCCAUAUUAUUCCAACUUCAAAUCCUUUAUGUCCAUUCACCAAUGCUUGUGAAGGAAGAGAAUUCACAACAAUUUUGUGAUUGUUUGGAAGUUUAUUAAUGUGCUAACAUAUUUCAUUUGUAUGUUGCCAGUUCUUCUAUGCUGGAUUACUCAAGAUUUUGAGCUUUAUGCAGCAUUUGAUCCACUAGCAGAUAAGGUUGACUCCUUUUCACGUCUCAUCACUCUUCCUCUCCCGUCUUAUGCUACAAUUAUAUCAUAUAGAUUUUGGGGUAGAAACACCUAGUUACUUCUGGGUUAUGCACGAUAAUUUCAUUCAAGCUGUAAAAACUUGCCAGUAGCUUAUAAUGUUGUUCACCAUACACGGAGCAUUAUAUAUUAGGCCGAGAUGGAGUGACCUCAUUCUAAUUUACGGCGAGUUAUUACUUAUUUCUUUAUUUGUAAAUCCAAAGAUGUUUUAAGUCAGAGUCAACGAGCACAAUGAGGCAAAUAUAGAAAGUAGGAAGCAGGCAGAAAUUGGAUUAUCUUAUCCAGAGAACUGUCAAAAUAUCCUUGGAAAAAAAAAAACAUCUUAGUGGUACAUCUGUUGCUUUGCAGUAAUCAGCAUAACCAUAUCUCCGCCCAUGAUUUAGCUGGGUAGCGGCGAAUCACUGAUAAAUUGCACCUAGAUUUAUUGGGUUUAUCCUGAGCCGGAUAUAUUGGCUUUUUGGGCAUUUUAUUUCUCUUAGUAGCAAAGACAACAAAUUUGCAUCUCCAUUAUGUGAACAUUCAUACGGAUAUAAAGAAAGACUUUCUGUAGCAUAAAGUGCAAAUGCUUAUACGGGGCCCUUCAUUUGUGAGGCAAAGUCUGGAAAAUGUAAAACAAGUUGUGCUAGUAGUGAUUGCAGCGUUCAACAAAAAAUCUUCAGUCUACUCGCUAAUUGCUUGGGUAUUCUGGCAUUUUCUUUUGGGAGUACUCCCUGUAGUAUACCGAAAUUGUUAGUUAGUUCCUGAAUUUUCCAGUUAAACACUAAUCCCUAGACUUUUCUCUUGUGUACUGCAAUUCUGUCCCUGGAAUUAUUUGGCUUUCUUGUAAUUUUAGACUUCUCUCGGAUAUGCUCGACUCACAUGACUUUGACAUGUUUUGUUGGAUUAAAAUUUGCAGGCUCUGGCAAUUAAGAUGUGCAAUAGAGUUUGUCAAUGGGUGAGAGAUUUGGAAAACGAGAUAUUCUUGUUCGGCGCAAACUCCUUUUCCUGGUGAUCUUUUGUCAAGUUUAUGUACUCUCAUUGUACUUUAGUUAAUUUAUUUUAUGAAAUUCUACAUUAUUCAUUUGUUCGUGUCGUCACGAACUCUUGCAUCACUGCGAGCCCUAUAAGAUUAUUAUUGUCGCCUUUGUUGACUCGUGUGCAUAACAAAGUGUAACACCAUACAAAAUUUUGGAAAUAAUUGUUACCUUCAUAGUUGGUUUAUGUAUUCCAACGACGCAUAAGAUUAAGAUAAGGUGUAAUCAGAAUCUCUUCUGUAAGCAAAUAAUGGUUGGUUUGUGCUUUGUCAAAGUAUAGAGAUAGCUUCUUUGGUUGCCUUUCAUUUUAUUGGAGCGCACGGUAGAAUCCACAGCAAACUCAAAAUUUCACAUUAUGGUAUGUCGCAUUUUGUGUUUUUUUUUUUUUUUCCUCGUAUACUUCUUAAUUAAAUCUAGUUAAGCUCUACUGAACCAAAAAAAAGGCGUUGGGAGGGUACUACAUUUUGAUGCAUAAAUCUGGUGCCGAACCCUUCAAAUAUCUGAAGAAAUGAAACGAUCACAACAGAUAUGAGAUAGUGUGUUUUCACUAUUCUGCAACUAUCAGAACCUAUUAGUCAUUGCUUAUUUAAAUUUUGUUUAGUAAAAAAUAUAUAUCAAAUUUGAUGGAAUAAUUAAAUAAUUUGAUAAAAUUUCUUGAUUGAUUGUAGUUAAUGAUAAAAAAAAUUUUAAAAAGAAAAUUGAAAAGUUAUCAGGUGUUAAUUAAAAACAAAAAAAAAAAUUUUAAUUUGAGGGGUCUACUCUGUGUAGUUGAAGCAGGCCCAGUUUAUCUAGCUCGGCCCAACGAACUUUUAGAUUCGGACCAUUUUAUGUCGAGUUGUGUGACCAAGUGGGGCCCAAUACAACAACUAAAUGGGCCCAAUGAAGUAAACCCACGAGGCAAAUGGGCCCACCCAUGGCGCUCACGUGAGCAUCACGUGUUUUCGUAACUCCAUUUUUGGUACGCCUCGGGAUCUUGCCCAAAAUAGAAAGUUUUCACUUUUGUGCGCGACACGUGGGCAUUUUACGUUGCAAACAAUGAGACUGACAUGCGGGCCCCACAUCAAAUGAAAUAAGAAACUUAAAUUAUAUAAUAAUAAUAAUUACAAGACUCUAAAUUAAUUCAUGUCAUUCGUAUCGCAAGGUUAUUAAUCCGAUAAUUGUAGAACAUCUUACCGAUAUUUUCUUUUUCAAAAUCUUCGAGAAGAGUAUCUAUAUCUUUUUGAAUAUCCGAUUAGACAGCCACAAUUAUUUUUUAACCUUUUAAUUACCCCUCUUUUUUCUUUCUUUUUAGAUUUUUUUAAAAAUUUUAGUGUUAAUUUAUUUGUCCAAAUGAAUCAAGCAGGUAGCGGACUAUUUUUUUCUAAAAAAAAAACUUCAAGAUGAGCUUAGCUGCAGUAGAUCCACAUGAAUGAUCGUCAACAAAUGUGAAAUCUCACGAAAAGCAUAGUAAAAUUUACUAAAGACCAUGGGAUAUUUUAUUAGAGUGCUGCACAAAUAUUCGUGGAUGCGAAUAAUUCAAGUGAUUAAUAUAUCAAACAUUCAACAGAAACAUCAGGGUUUCAGAAAAUGUUCCAAAGAUGGUCACUGUUCAAUGCACAUACCUGCAAAUAAAUAAAUAACGAUUACGACAAAUGAAAAUAAAUAUUCAAUUCGGAUUAAUCAGAAAACACCAAAUUAACAAAGAGAAACAUGAUACCAACUCAUCCAGUAUACAUAAAUUACAUAGUUUACACAAAGCACUACAAACAGACUGACAAAAUUCACGCAACAAAAAAAUUAUUCCAAUGCAAUUUAGGCUAUCACAUUUUAAUCCAAAACGCCCAAAAAGAACCAUACGGAUUUGCUAUUUACAACACUACAAUCUCAAUCUAUAGAAAAACUAAGAGGCAGUUAGUUUUUUUUCCUAACCAAAAUAAAGAGCCCCUCUAUCCUUUCCUAACUAAUUAAACACACGCGAGUCGAAACGGUGAACAGAAGCAAAUUAAUGAGACUUUUGUCUUUUAGAAGCCAAUAACGGACAUGUGUUAUAAUUGUUGCCAGCAGUUGAUAGGAUCAUUUGCCUUUUCAUCAUGCACAUUGAGGGCGAGUUCGGGAGAUUCACCAUCGACGUGGUAUUGAACCCCGGGCCUCCAUUCUGAACCGUUCGAUUGAUCCCCGGGGAUCCGUGGCAUUUGAUCGCCAGCGGCGGGACUUGCAGUGGUUGCAGCGGCGGCGGGUUCCGCCAGCUUGGAAGCGGGCCCGCCACCAUCAGGGUCUGCAAAAGGGGGCCCGCCUCCAUCACGGAUUGCAAGAGCUUCCCUUUUUGCGGCAGUGGCUUCUUCGCGGCGAGCCGAUCGAUUAUGGCCGAAGCGUGAUCAUACUUGGAGUUACUACUACAACUACUAUUAUUAUUGUGACACGAAAUGGCAAACUGAGAAUUUGUAUUACUAUUAUCGGUCAAUAAUAGCGGAUUCGCAACGUCGUCCGACGACGUGACGGUCUCGAAGAACGAAUCGACGGGCGAGGACGCGUACGACUGGGGGUUCAGGGUUCCCGAGAGGCUCUCGGAUUCCGUGAUGGUGGUAGAAUUGGGGAGGAUUUUUUGUGUUUCGGGUUGGAGGUAGGAGAGUAGCAGUUGAAGUUGGUCUCGCGCAUCGUCGCGCUCUUUCGUGGUCACCUUCACUAGCUGGAGUAGUUUGUUAAUGCUCUCUUCGCUUUUUCGGAGCUCUUCUUUUGCGGUCGUUCGCAGGGAUUCUAAUUCAAGAGUGGUGCACAAAAGCCUGUGCUUCAAAUCCUCCGCAUUCUGUUUGAUUUGAAUGAAUUCAAAAUAUAAGAGAGAAAUUCGAUUAGCGAGGGAAAAUAUAUAUAUAUAUAUAUAUAUAUAUAUAUAUAUAUAUACACACACACACACGCUUGAGAAAAUCAUUAAAAUAGAUAUUUAACUGGCUAAAGGGAAUAUUCACCGGCGCAGCUACAUCAUUGGUGCAAAUUACUUACCAAAUUGUGAUUUAAUUAAGAAUUUAUCAGGAAUUAUUUGAAAAAAGACAAUUUAGUACACUCACAAGAUAGAACUUACGAAUACAAUAACACGGUAGGGAAAGAAUCUUUAAUGCGGCACAUGUGGGGUCAAUAUUUCCCACUAAGCAAGCACUAAGUAUUAAAUUAAAAACACAAUAAAAAAAAUUAAAUUGAUCACAUCAAAAAAGACACAAAACUUUCAAGAUAAAAAUUAAAAGUUAUAUAUAUAUAUAUAUAUAUAUAUAUAUAUAUUUCUUUGGUGAAAUUAUUUGGCAACAAAAUGUUACUGUAAAAAAAGAUAAUAAAAUAAGACUAGUUUCCUGUAAGAAGUUGGACCAAUCAAUCACGCAAUAACUAUUUACGUAUAGUAAAAUAAUAUUAAAAACUACUACCAAAAAAAAAGUUCUGAAAAAAGAUAAAAGUCUAGAGAAGUGAAACAUCAAGUAGCGGUCCUUUCACUUCUUAUCACCAGGAUUCUUUUUAAUCACAAAAAGAGACAAAAUAAAAAAGCGAAAAAUAAAAUAAAAAGAAAAAAGAAAAAGAAAAAGAAAAAGAAAAAGAAAAAGCCAUUACGUUUCUCUCACACCCAUCGUUCCAAAGCGGCUUCUUUGUUUCCGGUGCACUCGCCUAACCCCAUUGACCAUAACGUCUCACAACGCCCAAAUCACAUACACAAACCCACAACACAAAACACCCACAAAAAUCCUCUUCCACCCAUAACACACAACGUGUACUACACAUUGCUAAUUACCUAUAUUCACAAACUCUAAUUAAGACAACAACAUGUUUCGUCUCGAGAGCAAUCAAACACUAUCAGAUGAAAUAAAGUUCGAACAAAAGCAUAUAUACAUAAAGAGAUCAUAUCUUAACCGAUCCAGUAUGAUCUAUGUGGUAUGUUAUCACGAAAGAGUGUUUUGGCUACGUGUAAUGCGCUCCGCGCGUAAUACCAAACGAAGCCUAAGAAGCAGAAGGAGAACACAGCAAGAGAAAGAGAGAAAGAGAGAGAUGAUGAUGAUACCUCUUGAUAACUCCAAAGAGGAGGUAACCCAUCACUAGAAACAUCUCCAAGGCCCCAAUGCAUAGUCUCCAUGGCUUUUCUCUCUCUUUCUCUCUAUACCUCUAAAGAACUUAUGGGCCCUUGUGUUAUAUAUAAGGAGCUUUCGAGGAGAAAAUAAGUAGUGGGCUUAUUUUAUUUUAUUUUAUUUUCUUUUGAUUUUGAAAUAAUAAUAAUAAUAAUAAUAAUAAGUAAUAAAAGGAAUGUGGAAUUCUCCUAUCAUAGCUUGCCAUAUCAAGUCCCACCCUUAUAUAGAAAAAUACCCGGGAAUCCUCUCCGUUCCUUUUGUGGGUCCCACCCUCUUUUGGCGCCUUCCUAAUGGUCUAUAUUUUAGAAAAAAUUGCCUAAAUUGUAAAUUGUUGUACGAUUUGUUUGUUACAGUAAUUAAUGGUUGAGGUAAAUUCUCUUUAUUUUUCCCUCCUCCGAAGAAACUUUUGAAAUGAUUUAACCAAUAAAGGAAAAUAUUUACUUAUGAUUUAUGGAUCUUUUCUGUGUCAGAAUAUAUAGUUCUUUUGUAGCGUAUAUAGCGUAUAGAGAUUUAUUUUUUUUAGGUAAUAAUGUAAUGUCCAUGAUGGGCUCAUCAUGGGUUCAUGUAGGAUAAUAGUAAUUCUUUCCUUUUGUUUUUUUUUUUUUUUUUCAUUGAAUGAAAGUAUAAUAAACUACAAUCUACAACAUUGUUUAAUUGUCCUUUUCAUCCUGUAUAUUUCUCAUCAAUCUGCUUGGUUUAUUGUUUUAUUUUGCUAUGUUACCGAGAUAGCAUGAGUGUUAUAUGUUGGUUUCAAUUCUUAACAUCUUCAUGAAAUCCUAAUUGAUUCAUAUUUUCAACUAAAAUUUAUUUCUAAAAAAAAAAUUAAACGAAACAGGUAGUAUAUUAAUUUUCUUUUUAAAAAAUUAUAUAUAUCUUCAUCAAAUCAAGAUGCUAUAGUUCAUGACUCGAAGCUCAUGGUUUCUCAUCAACCAUUUAAAUUAAAAAGAAAAAAGAAAAAUAACUCCUUUUACUCUCUCUCUCUCUCUCUCUCUCUAUAUAUAUAUAUAUAUAUAUAUAUAUAUAUAUAUAUAUAUAUAUAUAUAUAUAUAUAUAUAUAUUAUUUUCAAAUAUUAGGAAAAUAUAAUGAUCUAACAUUACAUGGAAGAACUUUAUGACCUAGAGAGGAGAAAUAGAAUUAAAGAAAGAUAAAAGGGAAAGUACCAAGUUAAUCCUUGCUAUGUACUAAAGCUAAAAAAUAGGAAAGAUACUCAAUUGAAGUUCAUCUAGCUAGUCUAUAGCACAACAAUUUCUGUAACAUUUUUUGAAAUAAAAAAAAAAAGAUAAAACAUCAUACAGUAAAAUCAAGAUUCAAAAAGUUUCAAAGACUCAUUUUCAUUUGCACUAUAAUUCCAACUAGCUAGAUCCUUAUAAUUAUUUUCAUGUAAAAUAAAGUUAUAUUUGACUCUCUUCGUUGCAUAUGUACAUAGCUUCUUUGUUCAACACAUGUAGGAAUCAUGAGCCCUAGUUUGAAAACCAUUGUAUGCUCGCUUUUGGAUUAUUAGUGAAGUCGCUUUUCUACAGCAAAUUAAGCUCAAAAUAAGCCAAAUCUACAGUUGACCUACACACCUUCUCUAGUCCUUUUUUUUUUAUUUUUUUUAUUUUCUCGGCCUACCUAGGCCACCUAAUCUUAUAGCAUACGACAAUAUAUCACUACCUAGAUGAUAGGAAUUUUAUACUAUGUACUCAAUUAUUAAUUUAAAUUCCAAAUAUUUUAAAUUAUUAUCAAAAUACUAGUUUAAAAUAAUAAUAAUAAUAAUAAUAGUAAUAAUAAUAAUCUUUGUGAUCCUUUUGGGAGGAAGGAUACGUAUGAAACAUGACAAGGUGCACGGGAAAGCGCACGACGUGUAUUAUGCGGAGAAGCGGCGUUCGGUGUAACGGUUAUACAUCCUCUCUGUGACGCUGACAUGUGGGGCCCCUGAUUGGAGCGUCUUACACGUGUCCUUUGAGAACCGUGAUGAGUGCGCGUUACACCGUAGCAUAAUUCGGCAACCGAACCGGUCCGAGCAUUUUUAUUAUUUAUUAUAUAUAUAUAAUAUAUUCGUGGGUUUGUUUAUUAAUUAUUACGGUACAAGCGGUUGUUGUGCAGUGUCUACAUGGACUUGUAAUUUAACUAGGCCGAGCUUUGGAUUGGUCUAUGAUUUGAUGUAAUAUAUAUUUAUAUAUAGCUAUAGGGGUUAUAUUAUAACAUUCCUAAUUUAAAAAAAAAUAUAUUUCAUGCACGACCUUCAAAGAUUAAGUUUUUAUAAAGCACACCAACAUAAAAUUCCAUUUCCAUUGCAUUUUUUGCGCAUAAAUUAAAGAAUAAAGUAUUAUUUUUCAAAGCUGUUCCGUAUACCAUGGUAUAGGAACAAGAUUUUUAUGCACAUUUAAUUUCUUUUAUUUGCUCAAAAAAUUAUAUAUUAGUUUUUCGAUGAAAAUCUAUCUACAUGUCCUAAAAAAAAAGAAUGUAAAAAUAAAAUAAAAUACCAUUCUCUAGUAUCUAAAGCUCAUAGAGACGAAUUAUAAAUUUUGUUAGCUAAAAGUCAUAGCCGCGCCAAAAUAUGAGAUCUAAGAAGCCUCAAACUUUCCAAUUAAAGAACAUGGAUGAAAUUUUCUUUUUUAUGUAAAUAGGUUUUUUUUUUUUUUUUUGGUCAAAAAACAAAAAAAAUCUCUCUCACAACUUUAAUUUUUAUUGGAACUCGCUUAGCUAGGCCCCUCAAUUAUGUAUCGUGGCCAUUGUGUCCCUAUAUAUAUAUACACACCUUUUGCCUACUUUGUUGCUUUGUGUCGAGGGAGAAUAGUUUAAAUGAUGCUUAAUUAAUUAGUUGGGUUUAGUUAUGGUUGCGCUCACUGCAUGCAUGUGUUAAUCUAAUUACUAGUUAAAUUUUUACAGUGACAUGGCGUUAUUAUAAUCAUUAAUGUAAUCUUAUCUAAAAUGAUGUUUAGUUUAGUUUUAAGAGCAUAUAUGCAGCGGUGUUUCCUUUUACACAAAUUAAUAUAAAAUAAUAGUAGAAACUGUUAAUACGAAAUUUUUUAACUAAUAUUUUAUUGUACACUUCAGAAAACUUCAAUGCACACAAAACGAAUUGUUUAAUUAUAUAUAUUUUGCGGCUGGAGUUACUAUACUCUUACGAGUAUAUGCUCUUUUGUACUCAAAAAAUUUUAAUCGUUGGAUGAAAAAAUAGACGGUUAGGAUGAUAUUACUUUCCAGUUAGAAUGAUAGUGGUUUCCUAAGGUUGGAAUGUAUGGUUGGUUGAAUAGUAUGAUCUAACGGAUAGAAAUGAUCAAUGGGGUGGAUCUAACGGUCGAAAACUUAUGAGUACAAGAAAACUUAUACUCAUAAAAAUAUAGUAGUCGAACUCAUAUUUUGCUGGCGUAAAAAAUGUAUUAUUAUGCUAACACUAUAGAAUUUUUACUACUUUUGAUUAUUCCGACGAAUUUAAUUGCUAAUGGAGAAAACACUAAAACCUCCUGUUGUAAUCAUUCAUUAAGAAUAUUUUACUUCUACAAGCAAUGAAUAAUCAAAUAUUUCACAAAUUAUAUUUUUGCUUUACUAAAGCGAGAAGUGCAUGCAAAUGACUAUUAAACUACAAGAUAUAAAAGUUCCAAUUUAAACUUUUCGUUUCUCUUAAAAGAAGAUGGUGCAUGCUUGUCUAAAGAUCACUGUUUAAAACAGCACUUGCAAAGAAGAUUCAACCCACAAACUUAAAUUUUAUAAUAAUAAGAUAAGAUAACACUAAUUGCUAGAGAAAGUCAAAUUCCUUUACUAAUUAUACAUGCAUCAUGCUUUAACACAUCUACUUAGGGAUGGUAAAAAGCUAUAGCCCAAAAGUUAAAAAUAAAAAAUAAAUAAAUAAAAAAAGGCACCAAUCAAUAUUUUGGCCUAAGCCCCCAUAGGCCUAUGAUCACCCCUCCUCCAACGUAAAUUUACUAGUUUUUGAGGUAAAUAGCACUUUUAGUCCUUAAAACUUUAAUACGCCUGAAAUUAUUAUAAUUUUAUACUCAAAUUUUAUAAAUUAUUGCAACUUUAUAUUUUACGCUCUAAUUGACUUGACUAAAUACUAAUAUUUUGCCGACGUUAAAGUAAUGCGCUGCUAUCUUAUAUAUUACUCGUCACGUCAUUGAUUACAGUAUUACAGCAUCAGCACUACAUUAACGGCAAAAUAUAUUCAACUAAUUAAAUUUAAUUGUAAAAUUUAAUUAUAAUAAUUUAAAAUUUUGAGUAAAAAAUUAUAAAAAAAAUUAAGUUUGAGGACAAAAAAUUCAGUUUAGCGUUAUUAAUUUUUACAUGUAAACGAGCCGUGGGGCCCGCCAUGCCCCUUUUUUGUGCGCGCCACUCCGCGGAGAACCGGACCCGGUCCGCUAAAGAGGUGACCGUUGGUUUCCCCCCUUUUUUCCCGCGGGUUUUUGAGUUUUUAACCCCAACGGCUUUACCGGUCGACCUAAUCAUGUGCCUCCCCACCUCCUCAAACCCAACAAAAGCUACUCUCUCCCUAUCCGCACUCACAAAUUUUCAAUAAAGAUGCCACAUGGUAUUAUUUUAUUCAUAAGAUUGCUUUUAUUAAUUUUUAAAUGAACGGAGGGACGCGGUUUCGACACCUCAUUAUCGUUCCACGUAGCACGCGAAAAGUUAUAGCUAGUUAUGAGAAUAUUGUAAGUCAUCUUUGUGAGCUGCUGAUGGACUGACAGACAUUAUAUGAAAAAUUUUUGCAUUUUAUAAGUUAUGAGUAAUAAUAUUAGAGAUCAUUCAUAAUGCUAUUUUUAUGAGUCGCUAAAUUGCUGAAAUAUAUGUCGUGUUUUAAUUAAUUAGAUUGUAUACACAAAUAGGAAGCCAAAUAGGGUAAAUUCGGGGGCUCGGCGAGUUCUCUACCUCCCGCCCCAUUUCCUUGGUGGGUUAGUGUGGAUUAAUUUUUUUUCUGUACUUUUUUUUUUUUAAUUGUUUAAGCUUAUUUCAUUUUUUUUUUUGUCUCCAACUCUGUUUUUCAUAGCUAAUUGGUGUUUAUUCAAAAUGGGUUAUUUUUUCUUGUUACUUUGGCCUUUAUAUUGGAGCAAGAGCUCUAUCGGACUGGAUCCAUUUGGAUCGCUACAUGCAAAUUAAGACACAACAUGAGUGACUAGCACAUUGAUCUACAGCUCAUAGAUGAUAUUGUUCUCUAUCAGCUUAACAUAUUUAGAACAAUCGGGCAUGUCAUAUAGUACCAAAAAGUGAGGAAUCCAAAGCAUGCACCUUUUUCAAUAGCUAGAACUCUAUGUUUAAUAAUUGAGUUGGAACCUAGGAAUCUAUAUAUGGAUUCAUGCUAAGAAUUGAUGCAUAUCUAACACCAUCUAAUAAUGCCGAGAGCGACUUUGAGACUACAAAGGGCAUCCCCACAUUGACCCAUUGGACUACAAUGAUGAUACGCAUGAGUUUGCAUGAAAGGGUGAAAGUAAAAAAAAAAAAAAAAGGAAAAAAAAAAUCUAAGUCAAAAUGUAUAACAUCUCAUUUUGCAUGGUAAUGCAUUUGAUGAUCUGUUUACUUUGCUUUAUAGUGGAAAGUUCGUGGAUUAGUUAUACUAUCGUUUUGGCUAAUUAAUCAACUACUUACAAGCACAAAGAUAAUAUAAUUAAUUUAACAUAUAUAAGCUCAGAUUCUGGUCGUCCUCUUGGGAGUUAAAUUUAUGGAUAGUUCUAGGUCUCCCCUAUGAUUUCUUAACUUAAUCCACCCACUUUAAUCUCACUUUAAUAUUAUUGCCUCUAAAGUUUCUCAUAUAUAUUUUAUUUGAAUAUCUGAUGCUUCUACUUGAUUGAGUUUUGUACGUACGUGUAUUGUAUGGUAUACGUCGACGGAGAAUACAUACGGGGGAGCAGGAGACGUCUCAAUCAUGAGGUGGGCCCACGGGCCGUGGGCCGAAGCGGCGAUCGACGCGGUUGUCCUUUUGCGAAGGGCGCGCACAUGGCGGAUUAGGUGCGCGCUACGCACACCCCCCAUGUGAAACCCAACCCCCAGGCGACCAAUAACGUCCCCACACGUGUCUCCACGCUAUUGCGCCGCGUGUCCUGCACGUGCGGCGGGGAUGGAAGCGGACAACGGUGGGAGGGACACGUGGCGAGAUCCCCGCGAGGGAUGGCACAUGCGAGGUCUAAGAAAUGUAGGCGCCACGUGCCUCGAGCCCCCACCGCCGUAUAACCAUAACCACCGCUCGUUGUGGAUGUGUAUCGUGUAUUGUAUUGUAUUGUAAUAAUAAUGCAUGGUCCCGUGGAUCCUUCCCUGGCUAAGUUAAAUUAAUCAGCGACUCAUGUGUUCAUUGAAUGCGCAUGAGUUUUGUUAUUACAUGUAAUUAGAAAGAUAAGGCUGAGUCAACAUUGAUUAACAUCGGCUGUUUGUGUCCUUUUGUUGAAUGGGUGGGCGAUACUAUUCAGAUCAUGUUCGAUGAAUCUGAAUACUAUUUACUAUAUACUAUCAUAUAUGAUGACAAAAUGUAAUGCGCGAAUAUGCGAUUAGCAACUAUGUAGUCUCUAACUAUACAAAAAAAACAGUACUGUUAUACUAGUUGCGUGUCCACUUUUUAAAAACCUGAUUGAACUCGGAACAUUUUUGUCGGUGGAGAUAUAGAGGUUUUUUCCUAUUCAGGUGUUUUUGAAGGAAAUCGUGAAUGGCGCAUGAAAAUUGAAAUUGCUUUUGUCCUCGCUUGAAACAAAAACCCGACCACUUUGCUGGGCCAUCUUUGUCGUUAAGAUUGUGUUCGUAAACAUUUAGAUCUCGUGUCUUUUGCUCUCACAAAGCUUCAAAAAGGACCACCAUUUUAUCGAAUUAGAGAGAGAUCUCAAGUGCUUUAAUUUUUCUUCUUUUCUUUUUUGUUUGUCCUUUCCUCGCCUUUCAAAGUUUGAUAAGAUGGGCUUGUUCCUAGUGGGCCCAACUAACACUGUUCUAAUCACUUGUUUGGCCCAUUUGGCCUGCAGCCCAAAAUUUUAGGCCCAAUUUUUUAGUAGGCCGGGCUAGAUUUAGGUGGGUUAAAUUGUAAUUUUUGGAUCAUAUCGAUUUUGUUCUACUUCUUUAUAAUAUAUUAAUUAUCAAAUUUUUGGUGUGAAUGCGGUGCAUGAAAUAUAUGCAUGCAUCUGCUACAGGUAAUAAUUAAUCUCUCAAUAUAAAAUAAAAUUUUUUUUUUUAGAAAAAGAUAGCAUACUACCUGCUUUAUUCAAUAAGAAAACUUCCAGCAAAAAAUAACUAGACACUUCUCAACAGUUAAGAUCAGCCUUCGCCCCUCUUUUUUUUUUUUUUUAUGUUUUGCCCGAAAAGUUGGGGGUUGAGUUAUUUUCUUUCUUUUUGAACCACAAGGGACAUUCAUAUAUGUUGCUAACUCUUCUAUAUCGGCUAUCUCUACUAAAUUAAUUUUUUGAAUAAUAUGUAUAGUAUUAAAACUGUCCCUAAAUUCUUCGUGGGGUUGAUCCUCACACUUAGCUUCUCCAUUAAUUAUAUUCUAUUGGAUAUCACUAUAUAAUAUUCGUUACUUUGAAUAUAAUUUUUUGUUUUGAAUUUGAACAAGUACUGUAAAUACUGCUUAUAAAACUGCCGUUCAAAUAUAUUUUUUUUAAUACAAUUGUAUGAAUGAUUGAUCAUACUUAGCUAAAAAUUUAAUAAUUAGUAUGCAAAUGAAAUAUAUUUCUAAUAAAAAAUAAAUAAAAAAAUAAUUUAUUGUGCAUAAAAAAACAACAACGUGUAGUAACAACCGCAACAAUCGUAACCACUCAAAUAGUCUCCUAAUUAACAACCAAUAGCGUCAACCCGCGUCGGCAACUGGGCCCCACCACAAACUCCGGUCUCCGCCUCGUGCUUAAUGUAGGCUCGGGUUCGGACGACGCCACGUCAUCUGGUCGGCGACCCCGACCCGCCCCAACCGCCAAGCGCGCCGGUCCGAGCUCCCACAGCCAAUCAUUCGUCCACGUGGCGCCACGGGAGUCCCCCGGAGGCCCGCCCCGUGAGAAAAAUACACGUGCACCAACCGUGCUGACGUGGACGGCUGAUAUUGAACGCUCUACGAUUUCCCGCUAAAACGGCUUUUCCCGCUUCUCUACCCGCUUUUCUCUGCUGCUCUAUAUGUAUUAAUGUAUAUAUAUAUAACCCCACCACCUUAACUUGUGCUCAUUCAACAAGUAGCGCUAAUUGUUCUAGUGAUUAUAUAGUUAAGAAAAAAUAAAGUAUAAUUAAAUCACUGAUUAAGUGAAAAGAAAUAAGUAGAAAAAGGAAAAUGCCGGUGAGUCGGAUUGCGAUCGGAGCGCCGGGGGAGGUGAGCCAAACGGACGCGCUCAAAGCCGCGCUCGCGGAGUUCAUCUCCAUGCUCAUCUUUGUCUUUGCCGGCGAGGGCUCCGGAAUGGCAUUUAGUAAGAUUAAUUUCUUCAUAAACUCAAUUAAAUUAAUCUCUAUUUACAUAACUUUCUAAACCUUAAUCGCAGUAUUAGUGAACUAAUCCACCACUUUGUGAUGCUCUUUUCUAUUUCCUAAUGUAGGCAAGCUCACCAAUGACGGAUCGGCGACGCCCGCUGGGCUCAUUGCGGCUGCUUUGGCGCAUGCAUUCGCGCUCUUCGUGGCGGUUUCGGUCGGGGCGAACAUUUCCGGCGGCCACGUCAACCCUGCGGUUACGUUCGCUGCGUUCCUCGGCGGCAAUAUAACGCUUCUCCGGGGAAUUCUCUAUUGGAUCGCGCAGUUGCUCGGCUCCGUCGUCGCUUGCUUGCUUCUAAAGUUCGCCACCGGUGGUCUGGUAAGCAGCUGAAAUCGAAAUUGAGAUCAAACAAAAUAUUUUCGAUGAAAUUGAAAUAGGAAUCAAACUUUAGGACUACGUUGUUCCAACAUAUAUACUGGAUUGAAAUUGUGUCGAUUGUGUAGAACACGGCGGCAUUCGCGCUCUCGGCGAACGUCGGCGCGUGGAACGCGGUGGUGUUCGAGAUCGUGAUGACGUUUGGGCUAGUAUACACCGUCUACGCAACCGCAGUCGAUCCGAAGAGGGGCAACGUGGGUGUGGUUGCACCGAUCGCGAUCGGUUUCAUUGUCGGGGCGAACAUAUUGGCGGGCGGAGCGUUCGACGGCGCGUCGAUGAACCCCGCUGUGUCGUUCGGGCCUGCAGUCGUGAGCUGGACGUGGAGCAACCACUGGGUCUACUGGGUGGGCCCGCUGAUCGGCGCAGCGAUCGCGGCUUUGGUUUACGACGUGAUCUUUAUUGGACGAGACACACACGAGCAGCUCCCAACAAUAGAUUACUAAGAAGAUUCAUUUAAAGUGUUUCUGUUUCUUUUUUUUGCCACUUGGGAGAGGUAGUGUCAAAGUUGUGGGUAAGAAUAGUUGGAAAUGUUGUUCCUAGUGAAGUGUAAUGUUAUUGUUCUUGUUUGUUUCUUCAUUGUUUGGUGUUAAUGAUCGAGUGCAAGAUGUUGUUUAAUGAGUCAAUGUACUUGUAGUUUUUUGAUUGGUAUAUUUGUUGAAUUAAAUGUUUUUAGGUUACAAAUUUUGCAUACUCUUUUGAACAAUAUAACUAGCAUAGCAACCAAAUUUGUUUUUGAAAAAUAUAGCAAUUAAAAUUGUAAAAUUGUGCUUGAUGGUCAAAUCCGUGAGCACUGUAUCAAGGACACUUUCCCUUAACAAUAUGAGAUCACUCUUUUGUGAAAGUAUAACUAAUUAAUAAAGUAUACAAAAGAGCAUUUGCAAAUGUAAGUUGAAUAGUCAUUUGUUUUUUUCUUUUUGCCUACAUCGAGGAUUAAUGUUUCUGAUAAAGCAAAAUAGCAUUCAACACUUCACCUAGGCAAAGAAAUUAUAAUUAAACAGGAAAAGGCAUUCUUGACAUAGUGUCCAACUCCUGGUCAAAGUGUUGUUGCUGCUUUUGAUUUUGGAAAUAUAUAUAGCAUAGCUAUUUUGUAGUAAUAGGAGAGUGACUCUCAAACACUUGAAUAUUUUGAAGUUCUAAAGCAUCGAUCAGAUGAUUUUGAAAAAAUUGUUAUUAACUAGCGAGACUUUAGAUGUAGCUUAGCAGAAUUGCAGAUAUAUCUUUGUUAUAAUUAUUUUUGCAUUAUUUUCUAUCAGAUCAAUCGUUUGGAUGAUAUAUUAGAGUAAGUUAUAAACACCUUUAGUUUCAAAAAUUCUGAAUUUAAACUUCUAUCGUUUAUAUGUUGGCACAAAUCAUUACCAAUUAUACCUAUCCAAAAUGUUUCCGAAAUGUUUCCUAUCAAACGGCAAACUCGGACGAACCCCGCAUUAAUUCAAGAGACCUAUGGAGUCGGCAUCACAUGCUGUUUUCUCCACCGGCUUCAACUUGAAGAGUUGAAAUAACUCGGUAUUUUGAGGUUUCCCGCCGCCGAAUCCUACCAGCAAUAGAAAAGUCCGCUAGUCAAGCCAUCUCGCCACCGACUUCAACCUAAUUGUCCAAUGAAGUCGUCAUUUCGAGGUUCUCCUCCACCGGAUUCAUCGCGAGUUUCGAAGGAGUCGGCAGUGCGAGCUGUUUCGUCAGUAGAACUCGGCGUGUUUGGAGAGUUCAUCACCGACUUCUUCAUUUAUCUGGUUGGGUACAUGGGUCGCUUUGGACUAGUAGUAAGGGAACGAAGGGAACCGUGAUCGCCCUUCCUCUCGCCGACGAUCCCUCGCCGUUGUUUGUAGUCGCCUUCUCCUUCAGGUGAUUACGAGUGCCCAAUUUAUGGAUUCUAGGGUUUCUAUUUUUAUCAUUUAAUCGCGUCUUCUAAUCGAUGCCCUAGAUCUCUGAAUCUUCUCUCGUGCGUCACAUUUGAAGUGUUUUGGUGUUAAUUUGCUUAGGGAUCUAUGUAGAUCUUCGUUAAAUUGAUGUUAUUCUUGCUUUAUGAGAUUUGGAUGCACCGAUCGGAUGUUUGUAAAUUGAGUAGUAGAAGAAUGUUCUAGGCCCGGUUGAGCUGGAGCAAAUUGGUUAAAAAUUUGGGAUUCGUUUCCAAUUUUUAAGCAUUUAUAUAGGUGGAAAUGUUGGGUGUUACUGAAGCCCAACCAAGUUCUUUAGGUAGGCUGAGAUAUCGUUUAUAAGGUGAAAAAGUCCUGUUUUGGAUGCAUAAACAUGUUGUGCUGCAGAUCUCUUUGGUUUACUCGAGAUACUCGUAUAAUAGGCAGUGUGCAAGAUGUUUGGAACGAGACCUUUUGUCUUCAUACGACAAAUCAAUUUGCAGAUGGAACGCUUUGACUUGAAAAUCAUGAUUCUGAGGACAUUGCAAUUAACUAAAAUCAAUGCUCUAUUGCAAGCACAAAACAAAAAUCUAAAGAUAACUUGUUCCGACAUCCAAACAAGCCUAAGGAAUCUUCCUUAGUAAAGAAGUCUAGGAAUUUUCCUCGUUUUUUCAAAGACAACGUGAAUUAAGAAUUGACUGACCCCAUACUCUGUAAUUUCUAUUGUUUGGAGACUCACUCAGCCUUCGUCUUUACUCUCCACCUCUAUAUUCUCUAGAUGUUAUUUUUCCUCCUCCAAACACAGCCAACCAAUGGAUUGGUCCCUGAAAUUAGAUGUAGUUUACCACCCAAGUCUAUUCAUUUCUUAACUUGACACAACUUUUGAUAUUUACGAUUUGCGAUUAACUGAACAUGGCUGCCGCUAGGUAACUGUCAGUGCCUAUGGACCGCGUAACGUGUCUUUUCUGUACAUGCUCAUGCCCCAGCCUAACUCUUUACUUUGUGGUCCCUAGUAAAACAAUGAUCUCUUGCUCAAAUUAUUUGUUCCUUUGUUUAUUGUUUGUGUAGGUAAUCUUAUGUAUACAUGUGUUUAUCAAGCUUAAGGAAAUACUUCAUCAACCACUAUCUACUAUUUAAUUUUCUGAUCACAUGAACCUAAGAUUCCAUUUCUAUUUUUAUCAAGGAGAUCAUCUUUAUCAAGUGCUAGAUAAGACUUACGCUUGGCAACCCCAAAGGUUGGAUCAUACUUCAAUAAUUGCCUUUCAUGGUGUGUCAUGCUUUCUUUUGUCUAUCUAGUUCAAUCUUGUCAACAGAUAAAGUCUCCAAGAAAUGUUAAUCGUGAAGGUAAGUGGAAUUUAGUUGUGCAUGCCUAUAUAGAUGAGGUAAGAUAAGGUCACUCAUUUGUUAAAACCUUUGGGAUAACAUGGUGCAUGCAUAGGUGGACACAAUUAUCUAAUAGGUAUUAGAUUUGUGGGACCUGCAUGAAUUUUCUUUCGCCCACUUAUGUACACACGAAAUAAAUUAUCUUACUUUUUGCUGCUAAGAAGAAGUAGAUCCCAAUGGGGAGGAUAUUGCAUUAUGGAUUCUUGUAGUUAGACAGCUCUUAGCUUGAGAUUGAAUAGAUAUUUAUGACUUCCCUAGGACGUAUGGAGAUAUAGAUAUACUUUCAGUAAGGAUUCGAUACAAGAUCACCCUCUCACUAAGAAAGAAAGCUGACAAAAAAUGAAAACAGAAGACUCGUAGUUCAUGUCGCAUGUACAAUAUAGUACUCAACUGUUGUAUCUCUCAUACCAAAGGAUAUAUUUAUUUUCAACCUCAUCCUUGAUCUAUCAUGAAAAGGACCUGGGUGCUAAUUGGUUCGCCGGUAAUAAAACCAAUCUAAUCUUCUUUGCCGGUCAUAAUUUUUACUGGUUUGGUUCUUCAAACAUCUCAUGCAUGACGUUAUCAACUUGCCGACGAAUAUUCAAGAUUGAGACCACUCAUCUGCCAGAAGUAAUUAGUGAUGCCUUACCAUUUUCAGUUUAAUAUAGCCCUUGGAUUGUGUAGGAGCGUAGUGUUUCUGGAUUUCUCUGGUAUCUUGGUUCCUUUGUUCUGCUAUGUGGGCCCAAAUAGGCUUUCAUUUUUUUGUUCUAUUUCAUUUUUGUCCUUUUUUUAAAAUUAGAAGUACCAGGACCACCACCAUCUCCCUUUUCCCUUUUUUUUUGUUUGUAUAUUUUUGCGGGAUUGUUGGCGGAGGGAGAUAAACAAGCCGGAGGACCACCAUGUUCUUCCCUGAGCUUUUAUAAAAGCAUAUACUCCCUCUCUUUGUUGAGAUCUAGAUGACAGAGAUUCUUAACUUUGCAUCUUUUAACCCGAUACCAUCAGAGUAUUACCACUCGUUUAUCUGUCAAUUAAAUAACAAUGGAGAGAAUCAGUUCUCACCCGAACUAAUAAUGAUGAGGAUUAUGCACUCCUAGAUAUAUUUCAAGAAAUACUUAGCAGUAUAAUUUGCAACUCAGCGGAGGAUGGUUAUCUUUUUAUUAGCCCUUCUUAACUGCAGCAAUCGAUAAGCAGGAGUCGCGUUGUUUACCGAACAACUUACAGAAUAUUGGUUAAUUUUCACUGGAUUUUUAGCCUCUUGAUUGAGGAAAUUUGGGACAUAGUUGGGUUGUCUAAUCAUGAAUAGUGUAUUACUCUCUUUGUACUGUACACUCUGCAUACUACAGUGUUCUUCAUAAUUCCACCACUUUCUCUUGCAAGUGGAUCACGAGGAAGUGCUUAGCACCACCAUGUUCCUUUUAGACAUGUUUUCAUCAUUUUGCGUCUGUGACUACUAAAUCCUCAGAGGAAUCAGCUCUGGUACUAUUAAUAAACUGUUUUGUUUUUGUUAGCUUUGGUAUAACUAUAACGAACUAGGCUGGAAUGCUAUCAAUAGCACUAAGUUGUUGGUGCUAUUAGGUUUUCAGCUCUUGGAUGAAAAAAUAUACGGUUGGGAUGAUGUGGGCCCCCUAGGGUUGAAUGAGUUGUUGGUUGAAUAGUUUUAAUCUAAUGGGUGAAAAUAGUCAAAGGGUUAAAUCUAACGGCGGAAAACUCGGUAGCACCAAAUGCUUGAUGCUAUCGAUAAUAUCCCAGCCGGACUCUAAAUAUAAUUAUAACACGUCUUUCUUGAUCAUAUAUGUCAUGCAAGUAAUAUACACUGUUCUCUUUUCCUAUCGCCACCAAAUAAUAAUGUGUUACAUAUCAUUUGUUGUUAUAUAAUAUACUAUAUAUAUUCUUGCAACAAAAUUAUAUUUUGUUCACUAUCUUUUUUUUUUUCCAAGAAUAAACAGGGAGAAGAUCCUCCAUGGUUGGUUUGGUUUUUAUAUAUUUAGGAGUAUAUCCUACAUGAUUCUGAUUUUUGAGACAUUGUUCUGAAAGGUUUGUUUGAUUUUCUAGGACAGCUUUAUAGAAACUGGAAUAAAGCUCUUCCAUAUACAGCACUCAUUUUACUUAUUAAUACCAUCAGUCCUUUAGAGGUAAGACCCUUGUGUUAAAAUAUCUUACUCUUGAUCUGAAAGAAUAGCUAUCUUUUGCAGUCAGUGUGCAGUGUGGUGCAUAUAUUGAAGUCAAUGUUUUAUAUAUAGUCAAUGUUUUAUAUAUAGUAUGGAUCCCAUACAACCUUAGGAUUAACUCAUUGAUUAUGCCCGCUUGUAUUAAUCUGCAUCCACUGUAUAAUGUGCCUCAUUUAUAAAGAACUUCUAGAAGAUCAAUGUCUUCCAAUCCGAAAGAAUGACUGGUUUUGGGUCAGUCCGGCUCGUCGGGUCCAAGUCAGAAUUAAAUUUGGCCGGGUACAACAAUUAAGAAACAAAGGGAGAAGCUAUCUAGGUCGACUAAUUAGGUUCUUAAAUAUAUAUUGAUCUGUUUGCGAAUAUCUUAAUAUUAUCUCACCCUAACCUAUGAAAAAGGAAUUUAUUUUCCUUUUAUCAAAUUUGAAUUUUGAUUGAAUUCUUGGUGUGGAGGGUGCAGGGUUGGUGGGGGGUUAGUUCUUGGUGUGGAGGGGGCAGUGGGUUGGUGUGUGGGGGUAUCAAUAACCUUGCUCUUUAGCACGAGAUUAAAAGUUGACUUCCACGUCAACCAUACCCAGAGGCUUAUCAGUUUAUUGGAUAUCGAUUUGUAGAUAUGGAACUCUUAUUGAUCCAAUUUGAAUUUUGCUCGGAACUAUACUGUGAUGUGAUAAAAUCGCGCUCUAUCCACCUCAAGUGGAUAACAUCUUCCUCCAUCAACAAGACCAAUCUUCAAAUUUGUGUCAUCAUCCACCUCAAAUUGACCUACCCUUGUAUAUUGCUUGUUAGAAUGUGUGCUCUAAGACACACGCAGUUAAGCAUUACCAUUAGCAAGAUUGGUUGAUAAAGCAUUAGGAUUAUUUUAAUUGGAAGAUAAUGCUAUAUUAAUCAGUGACUAGGACCACUCUAAUUAAAAUUAUUUCAAGGAUGGAACCCCCUAGAGCAUAACACUUCCUUGCACCACUUUUUUUUUCUUUUUUUUUUUUCCCCUUUUCUGUUUUUUUUUUUUUGGGCUCCCUUAUCGCUACCACUAACUCCCCACUGCCAACUUGCUUGAUCAGCUGUAGCUACUGCACUAGACACCCCCACUAUAAUCCUUCUAUCUCAUCAGGCCACCUAUUGUUUCACUAAAGUAGCAUGUAGAAAGGGAAAAACACGUUUAUGUAGGAAUACUCCCACAGUGAGGCGGUCUAAUCUACCAACCAUCAAGUGUAGUACUCGAAUCUCAGAGUAGUGUAAACGGUUUUUAGUCUGUAUCACUGUAGGAAGUUCAAACGAAAGAAAUCCUCUCACUCCCACAAUCCUCUUUCCUCUCCUCACUUAAAUGGCCUCAUCAUAUGGGAGUAAAAACAGAAUGGGAGUGAGAGUGCAAUGGAUUGUUAAUAUGCAAGGAAAGUCGUAUUACCUUUAGAGGACAAUAUUUUUGGCCCUUUCUCUCUCUAUGGUCUAUACUGUGACUUCAAUUGUUACAUUUAUGGACUUCAUGGCAAAUAUCUCGAUGUCGAAAAUAGGUUAGAAGACUCGUGCACAGGCUCACAAACAUUUGCUGCAGUUACUAGCUUCAGUGCAGCAUGACUGUUUUUCAAACAUUUAAAAGUUAAUUCAAGUGAAUUUGAUUUGUUCCAAGUAGAUAUUGCUUCGAUUUACAGUGAAGUUUUUGUUAGAAUCGUUUUGUUUCUUUGCCAACCGAUUCAGUUAUAUUAAACCAAUGUGUGUUUCUUUUUCUGCUUUCGAUUAGCGUUUGAUAAUGAAGUACAAGAACAAGUAAUAUUGUAUCACCAUAAACUAGGAAACCUCUAUAUCCAUCAGGGUUGAUCAGAGUUACAUUUUUAGACAAUGUUACGGUGAUCUAAGGUAAGAUAACAUUGACAUAUGUAGGACUAUAGAUCUCUCAAAGAGGACACCCUAAAAUUCUACACAUGACCAUACAUGGUUUUUACAGGAAAAACAGGUCUAGUUCUCUACUGUAGCAUCUCUUCUAGUUAUAGACAGGACUAGGAAGAGAAGUGAGCCAUAGGCUUCUCAUGAAACUCUAGUUAGUGCCAUCAGUAGUUGACAGCCCGAUCGUUAGGAGAACGCAAGGUCGGGAAUAAACAUCUUGAGUUCUUCUUCAUCAUCAUUUAUCCUCCACAAAGAUUCAGUGGAGUACUCCCAUAUAGGAGAAGGCAUUGAUGGGCCUGAACUUGUACUGCAAACCCCUUCAUUCUUAUAUUCCUCGAAGCUGAAGGUAUUGUUGAAGGGCUCAGAUGCUGCGAUCUCGUUCCAAAGUUGAUCCAUUGGAUACACUUUCAAAUCUUCUUCAAUUGAUGAGUUGCUUUGUUCUCUAGUAUUGCUUUCACACUCAUGCUUCUCAGCUCCAGCAUCUAAGGGGCCUUCACUGGCUGAGGAAGUAUUACUCGAGGAGGAGGUGGAGGAAGAAGAAGAAGAAGAGGGCGAUGACGAAGAGGGGGACGAGGUCUUCCUUAGCUCUUGCGCCUUCUUUCUCAUGUGGGUCCUCCAGUAGUUCUUGAUCUCGUUAUCAGUGCGACCCGGAAGUUUUCGAGCUAUUCGCGACCACCUACAAGAAAACCUUAUCUAGAUCAGCACUGCAACUUCUGUGCCAGUUGGCCUAGCUUUCUGAACAACUUGUUUUACUUGAGAAAGUAAAAAAAGUGUGAAAACUAGGCAAUCAAACCAGCUCGUAGCAGCAUAAUAUAGAGGAAAGGACUUUGGACUGAGGUAAGGAAGAAGGAGAACACUUGUCUUGAUUGGAUCAAACCUAUUCCCCCAUUUAGAGUGGAGUUCGAGAAUGAGCUCUUCUUCCUGAGGAGUCAUGCGGCCGCGUUUGAGGCCGGGGUGAAGGUAGUUCACCCAGCGGAGCCUGCAGCUCUUUCCUGUUCUAUUAAGACCUACAACGUGAAGUCAAGCAAGGUUAAUCCAGAAAUAAUUUCCAAGUACAUUUAUAUGGCCUUUAUAUAUAGCCUGGGGCUAUAUAUAGCCAUUCCCCCGCCACCGCGCAAACCUGACACCUUUGCUAAGAAAUCCCAACGACGUUCACCGAACAAUCCCACAAGCCAUACCAGUUGUAGGUCCUCCUGCUCCGUCCACGGCCCCUUUCGGAUCUCUCCUCCUUUUUUCGCUGCUACCAUCGCCGCCUUCUCGUUCUCGGUGUUUGUUUCGAGCCCCGCCUUUUAUGAUCCUUCUCUCUUAUUCUUCUUUGCACUCAGUACUGUGCUGGUCUUUAUGCCCACUCUUUUCUUUUUAUAGGCACCAGCGCAUCGUCUAGGUGAUGUCAUGUUUCAUCUCUCUCUCCCCAAACACACGCACACGCGCACAACCACACACAAAUACACACAAAAGUAAACAAAUUAGUGCACUCGAUGGGUUAUAUAAUUUCGUAACUAACCUGUGAAGUGGUUAAUGGUACUUUUGUGUAUAAAGUAUAGGACCUGUGGUACUAAUUGCGGCUACCGAAAUGAAUAGAUUCAUUUGAUCUAAAUUCUUCACAGGCUCAGGGCCCUCGUGUCCUUGCAAGGACAUAACAAAAGUAGCAACUAAUAACAAUUCGAGAUCGACAACACCGUCAAUUCUUUUGUCAAUUUCUUACCAAAUGCUGUGUCUCCUUUUCACUCCGUUUUUUGGUUUUUCUCCCCCUUUUUCCUUUUUUUUAUUUUAAAAAAACUGAAUAUUAGUUACUCAAACCUGCUAAAAUGGUAUCCUUCUUUUGUCUUAUUGAGGGGCCUCAGAGAGUAUUGUCUUACAUUAAUGAAUGGGUGAUGGAAGCUUGAAAGUGCGCCUCCCUCAUGCUAGUUAUUUCUUGAUGUAAUUAAAAAGAGAAAAACUAUACAUAUUAACUCUCUACUAGAAGCCAUAUAUUACUAAAUAAUUCAGGUCGCCAAUAGGAGAUUGUCACGUUAUUAGUUGUUGAAAGAUGUAAAACUUUGUAAAUAGGGGAAGUGUAUUUUUCUUGAUAGAAAGGUAGUAUCGCUAUCCGUUUUGUUCUUUUAUUUUUUUUUAGAAAUAAAUUUAGCUGAAAAUCCGAAGCAACUAAGCUUCAAACUUAGAAUCUUGGAUACCAAUGAUUAAGCUCUUUGCCAUUUGCAGUAGGGACGGUCAGUAAGUGUAUUUUUCAAUAUUGCUAAGAGCAUAGGUUACUUUGGAGAGAUGCAGAAAAUAUGUACGAUAAAUAUAGUUUUCUUGUGUAGUUGUGCUAGGUUUAUAACUGAGAGUUGAUCGGGGUCUUACAGCUUCACCAUUCAAUCGCUAAUUUUUUCACACUAGUCUUAUCGCUUUCUUUUACUGCUUUUAAUACGAAAUCCAUAAUUACAACCACACUUUUGGCUGUAGACUAAGCAUUUUUCUUCAUUGUUUACUCGAAGGAUGUUUACUAAUCACCUUGUGGCACAUUCACUAUCUUAGUUUUUCGACAAUGAAGUAUCAGAAAACCUUAGAUACAUACUCUGGAGUAUCACCUGCAGUAAAACGAGAGCAUGAAUUGUGGAACGCAGAUGAAGUAAUAAGCAAUUGAGAUAAAGCGUUCAAUUUUUAAUCUCUUAGUGUGCUCUUCAUCUGAGCCAGAUCAUUGAACAUUGAGAUUGGGGUGGUGGUUAACUCCUGUAAUGAAUAUUAUUAGUCUCGUAUUAGACACACAUUAGAAUCCUGACUCACAUACAAAUGCUUAAAGAUGAUGGAUACUCCCAAGAGUUUUCUCAUAAAACCCCAAUCCAAGGAGUCGUUUUUCAUCUUUUGUAAGUUGACUUGUGUCUAACUCAUUUGUUUGCACACGAAACAAAGUACGAGUUAGGGAGAUUGCACUUCUAUUGUGGAAAACAUAUGGGCAAUAGGAGAGCGCAUGAUGUGACUCAAGUUUCGCAACCAUACACAUUUUUGGCUUCAAGAUCCAAAUGAUGCUUCACGCUGACAAAGAGGGUGCCCAAACUUUAUAGAGAUAUAAAGUGGCCGAGAGAGCAUGAGGAAUCUCUUGAGCCUCGUAUCACCUCUCGUUUGCAUGCUGGUGCAUUUAGGAAGUAUCUUUUGUGGUAGAUGAAAUUUAGUGAUCUCUCUCUCUCUCUCUCUCUCUCUCUCUCUCUCUCUCUCUUUAAGAGAGAAAUGGAGGAUGAGGCUUAGCAAGCAAGCACUUUUGACUCUUCAAAUUUUAAGGAGACGCUGUACUCUCGGAAAUAGCCGUAUAUGCGUGUAUUUUUCUCGAAAGAUGUUAUGUUCUUAUGUCCUUAAAAAACACAUUUAUGUUUCGAGUUUUUAGAACUUUUUAUCUACUAAAAAGACGCACUAAGGAGCGUACAAGCUUGUUCAAAAAUAAAAUAAAAUGAAAUAAAGUAGCAGAUAAAAAGCACGAUGUUUUUAAGAAAAACAUUUUGACUAUACUUUUGCCUCUCGAUUAGAAAAAUAAAAUUAUUCGAAACCGAAGACAAACUACAAUAUAUCCAUUAGUUAAUAUAUAUAUAUUGUUAUUUAGAAUAGUCUCUCUCUUUUUCUUUUUCUUUUUAAAUUUUUUUCUCUCUUUUUUUUUUUUUGGUGUCGCCGUAACAAUCUAAUGACCAAACAACGCACAUGGCGCUCUCUAAGCCACGAAAAAAUCAACUUGAUUAAUAACCUCACGUUCGAACUGUUACUCUUGUCAACAUCUUAGGGAGAAAGUGGAUUACGAACGCAAUUGCACGCCAAUUUUGGAGAAAUGGAUACGCGUGUUUAACAUUUAACAAGAUCACAUCCAAUCAAACAGUACGUACAUUUAUUCAACGCUAAAGAGAUACGAUUUCGAAUAUAAAUAUGAAAAAUAAAGACGUGAUGGAUUCGGAUUCGAGUACGGAUUUUAUAUAUAUCUAAUCCGAAACCAGAUAGAUUUUAUAUUUAUAUAAUUAAUAUGGAUGUUUGAUGUUAUAUUUAAAUUUAUAUUUUAAAAUUUUUAAUUUUAAUAUAAUAUUAUUUUUAAAUACGGUAAAGAAAAAUAAUUGUUUUGGUUUGGAAUUUUCAGAUUAGGAUUUUCGAAAACUCGCCUCAAAUCCGACUCAUUGAGUCCCUAGUCGAGUUUGGUACGGUAAUUUGUCAAACAUUUCGUGGCUUUGAGCUUAGUAAUUGAUUUACGCAUUCGAAAAUAAGAAAAAUGUAAUUUCAAAUUAUUAGAAAAUAAACAGCUGAUAUAGAUCAACAUAUUAUUCUAAUACUCAUUUUAUUUUUUUUAACUUGUAAAUGAUUAUUUUUGCGAAAAAAGCUAUUUUGCUUAGUUGGCUAGGUGCAUUUAUUCCUCACCACUUAUAAUCAACGUGCCAUAUAUCUUUGCAAAUUAAUUUUAAAAUAAAAUUUAAAUUUAAAUUUAAAUUUAAAGCUAAAAUGAAUUUUAAAUUUAAAGAGUUAUUGAUGGCACGAGCCCAUUUUUUAGUUAAUUUUUAUAUAUUAAUCUAUUUCUAAGAGUAUUUUAAAUUUAAUUAUAACGUAAGUAUUUCUUGUUAGUUAAUUACUUAAUAUUUUUAUGCCCAUUUAAAAUAAUUAUAUAACUUUUUAAAUAAAAAGUAUUUUUAUAUACUUUUUCUUAAUUUUAUCUAGGAUUUUGCAUGCGUUUUUAGAAUUUUUUUUUUAAAAAUUCGUUUCAAUACACAGAAUAUAGAUUUAUUAUACACGGAUAUAAAGAAAGGGGCCUCGUGCGGUACACUCACCGCUCAGUAAUUGUGACCGCUGAUUCGUUUAGUCCCCAAACGCCAAAAAUAAUUAUUUUGGAGCAAACCGGGCGAUGUUGAGAGGGGGGGUGAGCUUACCGGGAGUGACCGGACCCAUCCAGAAGCUGUAGCGCGGUACGUUCACCGCCCAGUGUUGGUGACCUCAAUUUUUUUAUUUUUUUUAUUCCAACCGUGGGAAAAAGGGAAAAAAUAAAAAAUGGCGAAUGAGAUAAGCUUUUUUGUACGUGGCGUAAACUCUUUUGGGGUGGCCAAAAUCAAAAACUUUUUCAGCAUUGCAUUGUGUUCUAUGUAUAAUAUAUUUUUUUUAUUCAGUUGUUCAUAUGCUUUUAAAUUUUUUUAAGUAAAUAAAUAAAAUAUACAUAUAUAUAUAUAUAGAGAGAGAGAGAGAGAGAGAGAGAGAGUUGAGCUUCUGUAUUUUUAAAAGCUUAGAAGGAUUUAUACUUUUUAACUUUUCAACCAUCCAAUUGCUUUAAAAUUCGCACAGUAUUAUUAACGGUAUAUCUCAUUAAGUUUUUUUUAUUAAUGCCGUACAAAUAUUUAAGUGAUCCGACCACUAAAAAAUUACAAACACGUUAAUCUCCUGUAUUUUUAAAAAUAUAUCAAUUUAAGUGUAUAAUUUAUCUUCUUUUUGAAUAUCUUCUUAAUUUUUCUUUUCUCUCAUCCUAAUUAAGAGCACAAGAACUGCUAUAUUCUUAAUAGUACAAUAGUCCUACUCUCUCUCUCUCUAUAUAUAUUGAAAGCAAUAUAAAUAGUUAAUUAUUUAAUUGUUUUAAUGUGAUUUAUAUUCUUUUAUUACAUCUAAACUAAUUAUAUAUUUUUUAAAUAAAAAGUGUUUUUCCGUGAACUUUUUUUUAUGUAGCGAUCCGCCUCGUCAACCGUACUAAGGACUACGGCGAUGCAUCGCCCAUUCGCGCUCGUGCGGCACGCUCACCGCAAGGUUAUGGUGACCGCGAAUACUUUUGGACGCCAAACACCCGAAAAAAUUAAUUUUGGAGCUAUUUGGGUGAUGCUGUAAAGGGAGUGAGCUCACAGGGGUGACCAGACCCUACCUACUCUGGCGCGGUGCGCGGUGUUCGUUGCUCUUUUUUUUUUAUUUUUUUUUUAUUUUCUGUUUUCAACCCUGGAAAAAAAAUUAUAUAUUUAUUAAUGGGGAAUGAGGGCGCUUUUGUAGUUUUGUAUGCGGCGUAUUCUCACUUAGGGUGACCAAACUCAAAAACCUUUCCUUCGUUGCAUUGUGUUAAUAGUUAUUUUUUAACUCAGUUGCUAAUAUUAUUUUGUAAAAUUUUGUAAGUAAAUAUAUAUAUAUAUAUAUAUAUAUAUAUAGAACUAGGCUAAUAUACUAUUAAUAGCACUAAUUUAUUGGUGCUACCUAUUUUUGGCCAUUGGAUUAAGAGUUGUGUGGUUAGGAUGAUGUGGGCCCUCUAGGGUUGAGUGGGUAGUUGAUUGAAUAGUAUGAUCUAACGGGUGAAAAUUAUCAAAAGGGUAGAUCUAACGGCGGAAAACUUGAUAGCAUCAAGUGCUUCGUGCUAUUAAUAGCAUAGUAGCUGGACUCAUAUAUAUAUAUAUAUAUAUAUAUAUAUAUAGAGAGAGAGAGAGAGAGAGAGAGAGAGAGAGAGAGAGAGAGAGAGUCUGGUUGCAAUACUCUUAUAAGUAUAAGCUUUUUUAUACUUAUAAAUUUUCGAUCGAUAAAUCUUUUGAUCAUUUCCACCCGUUAGAUCAUACUAUUCAAUUAACCAUCCACUCAAUUCUAGAAAACCACUAUCAUCUUAAUUGGAGACUAGUAUCAUCUUAACUGUAUAAUUUUUCAUCAAACGGUCGAAAAUUUAUGAGUUUAAAGGAAUCUAUACUUAUAAAAGUAUAAUAGCCCCAACCUCUCUCUUUAUAUAUAUAUAUAUAUUCCAGCUACUACACUUUUAUGAGUAUCGACUCUCGUAUACUCAUAAGUUUUCGGCCCUUAUAUUUAUUCCAUUGAUCAUUUUCACCCGUUAGAUCAUACUAUUCAACCAACUACCUACUCAACCCUAGGGGACCACUAUUAUUCUAAGUAGGGACCAUCAUCAUCCUAACGACACAUCCCAUCAAUCAAAGGUUAAAAAUUUAUGAGUAUAAGAAGGUCUAUACUCAUAAGAGUAUAGUAGCUCCAGCCUAUAUAUAUAUAUAUAUAUAUAUAUAUAUAGUUGGUGAAAUUAUUGCGUAUAAAUAUAGAUGAUAAAAUGUAUGAAAUAUAUAUAGAUUUUAAAUAAUGUAUAGACCAGUUCAACGGUGAAUUAUUUACAAUUUUAUACUUUUGUAUGUAACCGGCAUUAAAUUUUUAAUUUUCUAAAUUUGUUAGUAUUAGAUUUGUGGUCUGUGGUAGACCAGGUUUAAUUAGACAAUAAUAUCUCAUCGGAAAAAGAAGAGUGCGGAAGAGAGCCAAAGAGGAUUGGACGGAAUAUUGCUAAAAUAUUCAACCGUGUGAGAGAGAGUAAGGAAUGUAGACCCGCUAAAAAUAAUAAUUUAUUAAAUUUAAAUUAUAGGUUCAAAAUAUUUAAAUUUAAUUAUUAUUAUUAAUAUGUAGAUCUUAUAUGAGUGCGGCUAGUAUCUUAUUAUUAUUAAAUUUAAUUAUUAUUAUUAAUAUGUAGAUCUUUUCAUUAUUUCUAACUAUUGGAUUAAAUACUAUAAUUCAGUGGGGACCACUCAAUCCUAGGGGGACCACUCAAUUCUAACCGACUAAUAUCAUCCUGACUCUACAAUUUUUCAUCCAAAGGUUAAAAACUUGAUAGCAAAAAGAACGUUUUACUAUUAAUAGUAUUCCAGCCAAAUUAUAUAUAUAUAUAUAUAUAUAUAUAUAUANNNNNNNNNNNNNNNNNNNNNNNNNNNNNNNNNNNNNNNNNNNNNNNNNNNNNNNNNNNNNNNNNNNNNNNNNNNNNNNNNNNNNNNNNNNNNNNNNNNNNNNNNNNNNNNNNNNNNNNNNNNNNNNNNNNNNNNNNNNNNNNNNNNNNNNNNNNNNNNNNNNNNNNNNNNNNNNNNNNNNNNNNNNNNNNNNNNNNNNNNNNNNNNNNNNNNNNNNNNNNNNNNNNNNNNNNNNNNNNNNNNNNNNNNNNNNNNNNNNNNNNNNNNNNNNNNNNNNNNNNNNNNNNNNNNNNNNNNNNNNNNNNNNNNNNNNNNNNNNNNNNNNNNNNNNNNNNNNNNNNNNNNNNNNNNNNNNNNNNNNNNNNNNNNNNNNNNNNNNNNNNNNNNNNNNNNNNNNNNNNNNNNNNNNNNNNNNNNNNNNNNNNNNNNNNNNNNNNNNNNNNNNNNNNNNNNNNNNNNNNNNNNNNNNNNNNNNNNNNNNNNNNNNNNNNNNNNNNNNNNNNNNNNNNNNNNNNNNNNNNNNNNNNNNNNNNNNNNNNNNNNNNNNNNNNNNNNNNNNNNNNNNNNNNNNNNNNNNNNNNNNNNNNNNNNNNNNNNNNNNNNNNNNNNNNNNNNNNNNNNNNNNNNNNNNNNNNNNNNNNNNNNNNNNNNNNNNNNNNNNNNNNNNNNNNNNNNNNNNNNNNNNNNNNNNNNNNNNNNNNNNNNNNNNNNNNNNNNNNNNNNNNNNNNNNNNNNNNNNNNNUAUAUAUAUAUAUAUAUAUAGAAAGAGAGAGAGUAGAGCUAGUAUACUGUUAUGAGUAUAGAAUUCUUCAUACUCAUAAAUUAUUUUCGAUGAUGGAGUUUCCGAAUCAACGAUCCACUCCGUUAAAUACAAUCUAAAGUAUUUAGAACUAUUUAAAAAUAAAUUUCGUAAUUUUUUGAAAUCAUAAUAAAAUUUAUCAAGCGAGUAUAAAAUGAAUAGUCAAAAUCGAACGAUAUCUUUAAAAUAGAUGUUUGGAUCCUUUAAUUUAAGAUCAGAAUUAUUGAUCUUUAUCUAUAUAGUGAAUAAAAUUUUCUAUAAAAAAUUCUCCGAGGGUUGAGUAAUACCCUUAGGGUUGAGUGGUCCCGACAGAAUAAUAGUAUUAAUCCAAAGGUUAGAAAUAAUCAAAAGAGCUGAUCUAAGGGUCAAAAAAUUGGUAGUAUCAUAUCCUCUAUGCUUCCAAUAGUAUAGUAGCUCUACUCUCUCUAUAUAUAUAUAUAUAUAUAUAUAUUGUGUUUAGAGUUUAGGGUUUAUAUAUAUAUAUAUAUAUUGCACGUUAAAAUGUAGAGUUUGAAACAAGCCCCGUCCAUGUAGAAAUUUAGUAAUAAGGAAAGAGACGAGGAGUAGUUCAAAGAGGAAGUAUCCACGAAAGUGCGUGGAUGAGCCAAAUUGGGGCGGUGACGUGGACGCCACCUUCUGUUGGGUAGUCCACUUAUUCGCUUCUUUUUAUCUUCUUCAACCUUCUCCCUUUUAAAAUCUCCUGGGAGUUCCACAAAUUUUCUAUUUGAUUUAUCACCGAACCCCCCCAAUCUAUAUAUUUAGAGAGAUAUAUAUCAUUCAAAAUAAAAGUUAGACCGGCGACUCCCACCAAGAGACAACGACAAGAAAUCUAAUCAGGAUCGCAAUUUAUUAGUGAAUGAUUUGACCAAAAAAAAAUAACAUAAUUUUUAAAAACCAAUCAUUUGACUUUUUUAACUAUUAAACGAAUUCGGCUCUUAGUGACUUAGAUUUGAAUGAAAAGUAGAAUUAUCAAUAUUUCUGCGAUUUUUUCUUUUUUGUUUUUAGUUUUAUUUUUUUAUCUUGGUUGUCUUGAAUGUUUUUGGAGGCUGCGCCAUGUAACUAAAUUUAUUUGCUAAAUAAAUAAAACGGGUAGCGCCCUACAUUUUUCUCAAAAAAAAAAAAAUAAUAACGGUAAAAGUGAUUUGCCAUCGAGAAAUACUGUUCUAAUAGUUGGUGAUCAAAAUCCUGCAUAAAUGUACAUGGUUAAAAUAGGGAGUAUUGCUUAUAUACUUUUUAUCACUGUUUAAAAUUUCUAAUAUUUGCUGUUUUUUAAAAACAUUUUUCUAAACCUCGAAUCUCAUUAGAAAGGUCUUGGGCGGAGAGGUUUACGGUUUACUUUAAAACGAGGAAGUAGAUAAGUUUGAAAUUGCAAUUAUUUCACAUCAUCUUUUCCAAGCAAAAAAUCUUUUUUUUCCGACAACGACAUCAAAUUUAUAAAAUAAAAUAUAGUUAAUUUGUCAUUAAAUUAUAAUCAGAUAUAACAUAUCGAAAUCACAACAAUUGGUGGCACACCUUGACUAUGGCAGUUCUUACUAGGGGUUGGUCGGUGGGAUUACGACUGAUUUCACUCUUUCUUUAAAAAAAAAAACACUUUAUUUAUUUUAUUUUAUUUUUAACUUUAUAAGAUAAUCAAGUACGUUUUCGAUUCGAGAGGGGCUGCUGCAUAAGCAAGGAAAAGACAAGAGAAUGAAUAUUAUAUUAGACCCACCUGUGGCUUGGCCCAGGAAAAGGGCUUGUAGAACCUCCUUGUCCCCCGUUGCCAGGGCCACGUUUUAGUAUUUGCCAUUUUUAUUCUCUCCUCCUUUUACGAAAUUUAGGAUAUGGCUUUAGCCACCGUUUGGUUCGGGGUUAAAAAAAAAUAGCUAUUCCAGAGAUAGGGUCAAGUUUAGAGUUAAAAUGGUGUUAAAAUUAUUUUGUGUUUGGUUGGAGGUUGGAGUUAGUCUAGGAUAGUAAAAAAAAAUGUUUGGUUGGAGUAGGUGGGAUAAGAAGAUAAUAAUUGAUAAAGAAGAAAAAUAUGAGAGCUCGGGAUGCAUGCGGGGUUAAAGUUGGGAGGGGGAGUGGGGUUAAUGAUUGAUAAAGAAGAAAAAUGUGAGGGCUCGGGAUGCGUGCGGGGUUAAAGUUGGGAGGGGGAGUGGGGUUAGUAAACCCCACUAACCCGGUUUAGGGUGGGGUUAGUAAACCCCACCCCGGGUUAGUAAACCCCACCCCAAAAGAGUGGUGUUUGGGUAUAAAUUGGGGGUUAAGGGGUUAUUCCACCCCUUAAACCCCAACCAAACGGUGGCUAAGGAUCUUUGAAGGGCCACAUUAACCAUCAUAUACCAGGGUGCGUUUGGUUCGCGCUAUCUUUUAAAGAUUUCAAAUAAUUUAAUGAGAAUAAAAAAAUAUGAUAGUGUUUGGCUAAACGCACUAAGUAAUCUAGUUGGUAAUAUUAGAUUCAUUUGGAAAUAAGAUUCAUCCCAAAGUACUAAUCUCAUUCCCUUGAGGAAGGAUGGAUAUCCUCAUAUUAAUGGAUUGGAAUAAUCAUAAUAUGUCUAAUCUCUUUCUUUCUUCCUACCCGCCGGCUAAUUGAUAUUAUUUUUCUUUACACUCUAACCUUAUAUCUCUCUCUAAACUUAUUUUUCUCUCUAAAAUUCAACUUUUUUUUUUCUCUCUCUAAACUAAGCUUUCUCUCUCUCUCUCUCUUUUUAAAAUUUCAACUCUCUCACUCCCUCUAAUUUCGACUAUAUUUUUCUUUUUAUUUUUUUAAUUAUGCUCUCUCUCUCUAACUUAUACUCUCUCUUUCUUUUUUCUAAAAAAAUAUUGAAACUUUUGGUAAUAUUAUUUAAUAAUAAAUAAAUAAAUAAAUAAAUAAAUUGUAUAUUUUUUAUAAUAUUAAAUAAUAUGGCUAAUUAAUAUUACCAUGCGAACCAAACACAGAAAUUUCACAUUCUUAGUAAUAGAAUGAAUAGAAAUAAGAUUCUCGAAUAUCAUUUAUUCCUAGUAAUCUUUUAUAAUACGAACCAAACGCACUCUAAGUGGGAAAAGAUCAUGAGCAAGGAGCAAGUUAAUGAGAGAUGAAUGGGAUGUGUUAAGUGUUGGAACUUUAAAA
rnacentral:lncRNA from 1 species